UUUUUUUUUUUUUUUUUUUUUGUUGACCAAUGGGGAAGAGAAUUGUGAUUAGUUUGCUAAUAUUUGACGAAAAAUUUUUCUAGAAAAAAGUCUACAUGCAUUAUGUAAUCCAUUCUACUCAAAUAACUCCUCGAAGUUUUGUCAUUCUGGCUAUUGUUUUAGUAAACAGAUUAAUUCACAAUAGAAACAAUUUAAUUUUUUGAGUAAAUUAUCAAUUAUCUAAUUUCAAAUUGUUUUAGUCAUUGCAAAUAUUAAAUUGAUGAAAUAUAAGGUCAAACGCUAGGCUGAGAGAUAGUACAAAAUUACUAGCCAGCAUUGCUAAUUAUAUAUUAGUGCAAAAUUACUCGCUAGCAUAUCUAAUUAAACAAAAGUCGUGGGGUAAAGUGUAAUUAACCCUAACAUGAAUUAUUGUCCGAGGAAAAUUUUAGUUUCACGCACUUUAGGAUAAUGUGAAACUCAGUAACGAAUAAAAUAGGGUAAAUAACCAACCGUGUGAACACGCGUUGGGAUAGAGAUUCUUUAAUUAAGUUGAGAAAUUCGGUACUAACGUUGGACAACACAUGGGGUGUCCAUGUGAUCGCCUGCCAACCGGGCAGCCCUACCAGCUCACUUUAAAGCCUCUGUCCCCUUCCUGCCCCAAAAUAUUCUGACCCCAUAAACAGCCGCACCACAGCUGGCCCACUUAGCCCGAUCAUUUUUUUGCUAGCGACAAUCGGCCACGUUUUUCCAUUUCCUAGAUUGAAUUUUGCCUUGUGGUUGAUAAGUUACCUGGAUAAAUUUAUUGAGAUAUUUGUACUGUGAUUUUGGUCGAAUCAAUUAUUUUCUUUUCUAUGCAAAAAUAUACAUUCCUAUGCAAAUUAUGAAAAGCCUUUUAGUCAAUAUAAGUUGAUUAAAUUGGUAAGGACAUGUCACUUUUUUAUAAAAGAUUAUAUAUUCGAACAUGUAAGGACUAUGUUGACGAACGAUUUAUAAAAAUUCAUAUUAGUGAUUUAUGGUUUCAUCGGCAUGCGUGGGCCUAUAGUGGUGACGGAGUUGAAUCUAGCAAAACUUUUUCCUACCAAAAAAACCUUCUGAAUACAAUUUUUUUUUUAUCCUCCCACGCCUCCCACACCCUUCCUGCUCCCAACUAUUGGACAUAGGAUUCGAAUCUUGAAUCUGAUAAUAAAAAAAAUUCUAAUAACUCUCUCUUAACCACUGGAUGACCUUCUGAAUACAAAUACUACUCUUUUCGUCCUAUAAAGAUAGACUCGCUUCUAUUUUCACACAAUUAAGAAAUGUAAGUUAAUACAAUUAAUGUGAUCAUUUUUACUUAAUACUUUCCUGGCAUGCCUUCCCAUUAAUACUAGUUUUAAUGUUGUAUUUAAUACUACUAAAAUAGUUCACCAAUAUUAUACCUUAUUUACUGACAAAGAUGUACUUUAAAUAUGGGAAUGAUAGUAAAUUGAUAAAUUAACUACCUUUUAAAAAGGAAAUAGGCCUACAAUUGAGAACAAUCACAAAAAGACUAAGCCUAUCUUUAUGGCACAAAGGGAAUAUUAAAAUUUAAGAGGGGCUAAAUUCAUAGUUUGUACAAAUAUCAAUCCUGAAUCCUGGUAGUAUCAAUCAUUAAUGCAUAAAAAAGGAAUGAAUUUAAUCUUAUUCUAGAGUUCUUGAAUGAUUUUGGGAUCAACAAAUCAGAAAGUAAUUAUUCGAUCACAACAGGUUGGGACCCCAUGCCCCUCAAGAGAGCCUGGUUAUACGAUUUAUAGAUUUUUCUUAGUAUGUUUCUUAAAUGCAGUAAAGAUGUAGAGUACUUAUUGUCUUCAUAAAGGAGAUGGAAGGGGAGGGCUAUCUUUCUAUAGUUGUUUUGACUUCAAAAAAUUUUUUUUUGGGCUUAAUGAAUGAGAUUUGGAUUCUUGCACUUAAAUGCUUUGGGGUGACAGAACUCAUAUAGUAGUUAUUAGCAAUAUUUGUUGAAUAGCUUAUAGAUUGCACAUUGAGUAUUCAUGUUUAUAGCACUACUUAUACUUCGUUUUUUAAUUUUAUUUCGAAAACUUGAAAUAUGAAAAAUUAGUGUGAAAGUUCUGUCACUGGCGCCACACUCAAAACCUCAUUUCCUUAUAAACAUAACUUUGAAAGUAUAUACUAAUAACAUACUUUAUUAGGUUUUUCUAAUGGAUGUUCAUAGAGUACUCAUUAGCAGAUCUAAAAUUUACAUAAUCUACCAUAUAUAUACAUAUACUAAUAAUUAUUACAUUCCCGCGCAUUUAUAUACUUUUCCUAUUUAAUCUUACUUAUCUUCCUUUAUAUUUAUUUAAUUUUCCUAAUUAAUCUUACAUUUAUAAAAAAAAUAUGACACCUGAAAUAUAUUUUAGACAGACUCUACUUUAUUUAGUAUUUUUUUUUUCAAAAAUUGAUUAGUAAAGUCAGUAAGAAAAAUAUCGCUACUAUAUUCAAGUUCAUAGAUGUCGGAUUUCAACAAUAGUAAUCAGUUAAAUAAUUACCUCCAAAGUCCAAACUCAUAAUAAAUGUGUUUUAGGAACAUUCUUUACUUUCUUGAGACCAGCUAGCUGCAGUAAAUUAUUUCACAUAACGCGUCAAGUCUGUCAUUGUUUAAUACUUAGGGUGCGUUUGAUACAAUUGAAGUAUGAAAACUGAAAUCUGAAAUCUAAUUCUAUUAAGUUAUCGAAUUGUUAAUUAUUAGAUUUAAUACAUUUGAGUUUAUAUCAUAAUAAAUGAUAAGCGAAUAGUUUAUCACUUAUUUUUUAGAUCAAGUUUUACCUAAAAAAUUCAGUGCCACUUAAUUAAUUUAAAUGUUCAAGUUUUGAUUAUCAAACACAUCUUAAUAGUCAAGAUCUGAAUUUAAUAAAUUGAAGUGCUAAAUUAAAUUAUUAAACAGGGUCUUAGUAUUUUUAUGAUAAAUUUGGCAUUAAGAUUUCGAAAUCUAUAGCCUAAAUACUCAAAACUCAAUCAGGUUGUCUUGUCUAAUAUUUUGGUUUCCAGGUACAUUAGUAUAACUUGCAAAGUACACUUAAACAAUACUGUUUAAGAGUUUACCAGCAACAAGUGGUCGAAAAUCACGACAUGUUUAAGUGAUAGAUACAAAUAUGAAAUCUCUAAACUCAAUGAGAUAAGCCGUUAUUUAAUUUGUUUUUGCCGUAUGUCGUUUAGAGUAGGAUUUUCUCUAUUUAAAUUGGUAGGUGUGUGAAGCUUGCAGAACUGUACUUUCCUAAUUGGAAACAAAGAUUCAGUUUGCUUCGAUCAUAAUUAAUCCUGAAAAACACAUGAGAGAAACAGAUCAGGGACAACUAAGAUAAUCAUGUAUUAAUUAAACAGUUUGACUUUGUUGUCAACAGACAAAAGCACAUCAUCUUCACCAAAUUUGUUGGGCAACUUAAUCAAUCAUUUCUUCUAUUGUGGGCUUCAAAGGCCAGAAAACAACAAUCCCUUCACGAGUUUACUAUUAAUACGUGAAGAAAUGAGAGACAUAUCAAUAUGAUUCCAUGUGAACCUAAUUAUUUAUUAUCCAUAUGAUGAGUCGAUUUAUCUCAUGAAAUCCAAAUGAAUUAUGAAAAUGAAGCUUGAUCAACCGAGUCAACCGAUUUUUUAGUUAACCAAGAUUAAGAAACCAUUAAAAAUAACGUUUGGUCCGCAUCUGACUCGCUUGGAAUACUCCCUGUCCCCAGAGGCAAUAUGACUCGAAAUAAAAACAAUGCAAGACUGUUAAGCUAUAACCCAACAGAAAAAGGUCCAAGAAUUGCUUAAAUUCCUAGAAAGACUUUUUUUUUUUAAAUUACAUUUUCGUAAGACCAGACAGACAUUGGUCCACUGUUAAGGGAGAAAAUGAAAAAGUGAUUAAGAUGAACUUUUGGGAUUAAUAUUUUUAAUCUGUUAGUGUAAAAAUUAUUCUCACAAAUUGAUCUAGAUGCAUAACACAUCAUAUCAAUUCAAAUUUGAAAUUUUAUUUUGCUCAUAUAUCAUGAAUCUACACUUGUUUGUGGAGUUUUUCUUUUUUCUUUUUUUGCCAAAAUAACUCUCUUUCUAAAAGAUAUUCUCAAUGUGAUUCACUUUCAAAUGUUAUUCUCAUAAUGAUGUUAUUAUUGCCACCUAAUUAUCCUAACUGCCAUUACAAGAAAGCAAAACUUCAAUCUAGUAGCAAAUAUAUAAAUCUAUGCUUUUUGUCACAAUAAUCUUUUUCUCAGAAAAUGACCCGAACUAAUAUUGUUUCAAAUUUUAUUCUCAUGUUAAUCUAUUUAUUGUCACAUAGAUUCCCAAAUUAAAGGAAAAUAACCAUGCGAGAAAAUUUUGUUCUAAAUAUCCAAUCUACCAACAAUUUUACUCUUAUUUUCUACUGCUAUUGUAUCUCUUAGAAUUCUAUUUAACUAUGCUUAACUAUUAUAUUGCAAUUCCUUUCUUUUUUCUUGUUAUUUGUAAUUAUAUCUGUGAUAAAGUUUUUAUUUUAUUCAUUUUAGUAUUUUGCAGUAUUUUAUAUUAGAAUACGUGCAAAUAAAUUUUGGUCAAAAAGGUGAUCAAAGUUGAAUUUGACAUACAAGAAUUGCAUGUCAAACGUGAAACGAAGUGAAGAAAAAUCUCUUGCAUUCAAAAAUCAUAAUUACUAGAAUAAGAAGUUAGCCCCGAAAGAGUAAUAUAAUACAAGAACCAAGGAUAGUUAACCGUUGAUCUGUGGAAGAACAGCCAUUGAGUUCUGAGGAAAAACUUACCUUCUUUUUCCUUCAUUCAUUAAAAUCCUUUUUGCACAAAUCCUUCACCAAAUGAAGUAUCAUGAACGGUUGAACCCCAAGUUCUCUGAUUUUUCUUUGAAAGCUAUUUUGGUUUUUCUCAGAUAAUGCUAUUACAAGUAGUACUUAACACUUUAAGCAUAUAUACCUCUAAAUAUUUGGUGCAAAGUUGUAGAAAAAAUGUAUAUUUUAAAGCAAUUUCUUUUUCUCAUAUUUUCAGUAAUUGUUGGCACAAAUUUUUGAGGGCAAUUUGGUCAUUUGAAGGCUCCUAAUGGUGACAUCGUCAUCUCUACAUGAAUGGGGAGGUCAGUGCAAUUUCGAAUAUUUAUGUGCAAUUAUCAAAAAUAUCAAGGGAGGUUUCUAAAAUUAUCCAUAUUUUAUAAACAAAAGAUUAUUUUGGCAAAAAACUCCUUGUCUAUGUGUAGAACUUUUUACAUUAUCGGUGCAUGAAAUAUUAAUUUUAACAGGAUAUUCCUACUUUUGUAGUCAUAGCUCAUUUCAUUUUUUUUGUUUAACACAAGUAAACCUAGCUUCAUACCACAUAAUUGUCAAAUUAAAUAUACCUUUUUCUUUAAUUUGCCACUUCACUUGUUUGGAUUGAAUAUCCACACCAAUAAUUAUGUUAAAUUUUAAAAUCCAAAGGUCGGAACUUGGAAAUAAUAAGCUCCGGAUCCAACUGUUCAGCAAAUUAUUUCAUUGACUUAGCUGUGCAUUGGUUAGAUGACAAUCUCGGACGCCAUAUCUUAUUGUAUACGAGGAUCCUGUUUACUCCAUUAAAUACGGAAAGCGAAGUAUUUUUCCAUUAUCAGUUGAGACAUUUUAAACAUAUGUCAAAGUCAAACGAGCAGUUUUAGAAGAAAGGUUUAACUUUCAAUUGUUUAACCUAAACAUCUUAACCGGCUAAUUGGCAGGCUUUUGGUUGGAUCUGCAACGCAGAUCUGAUUUAGACUCACUAAAUUUAUUAAUGCAAAGACACUUCAGUCAGUGAUGAUAGUUUCACUGAUGGUCAGUGAAUUGGUGCUAUAGCAAGACAAGGCUGAUUUAAAUAGUUUAAUAUAGAAGUACAAACGAGUCGAAUUUAAUCGAGUAGCUCAUGACCUUACUUGGUCAAAAUUCGAACACGAAUUUGCAUUGACAAAAUUCGAACGCAAGUUCGAGCAACUUGGUGAGUCGAGGUCGAGUUUACUAUAUGAACCUCGAAAGCUCAUCAAGCUUAAUCGAGUUUCAUAUAUGUAUAUAUAUAUAUAUAUAUAUUUUUUUUAUUUAUUAGUAUGAAAUGUCUAUUUUGUCUCUCGUUUAAAAUUAAAUAAAAUAUAUAUUUAUAUUUCUUAAACUUGAUUGGAUUCGAUAAGAAUGAGUUUGAACUCGAACUUAAGUAAUGUAAAAUAGAAUCGAGUUUGAAUUUGAAUCCAAAUUUUUAAACUCAAAUCCGGCUCGAGUAGUGAAUUCGACACAAUUAUACCCCUAGUUUAAUAUGAUAGUUUUCAGGAGUAGACGAUCGGGAACCCAUAAGACUGGACUUGCAAAAAAAUAAGGAGAAUAUAUGGGCACAAUAACAUUUAAUAAUUCAAAGACAAAUAAGGACCCAUAGCCAUAACCCAUUUGUUAGCUUCCUACCUUAUUUAACUGUUCAGCUCUUCCUCUUGUCUUCAGUUAUCUAGAGCCUUGCAUAGUCAACGUAUAGAUUAUUUUACUGUCGUAUUAUGCAUCUCGUCUAUUGGCCUUGUAUGUUGAUCAGCAUGUAGCAUUUGUAAAUAGAAAUGAUGUCAAAAGGAUGAUUUGAUGUUUGUAACGAAUUCUAGGAUGUUACUCGUUGUAAUUGAGAUCUGCAAUCUUUUGAUGAACGCUAAGUGGCUUGAUGUAUUUUACUUAUUGUUCAUUUGCUUCAUUUUACUAUGUAGGUUUCUGGAGCAUCAAGUGCUAUGUAAUUUGGCUGGAGCAAUUUGCAAAUAUACAUGAUGGAAACUCUGUCGAAUGCUUUUCACAACCAAUAGCUUCGUUAACAUUUUGGAGCACAAUUACAUCAACUUCAUCAUCAACGCAUCGAAUUUUGAUCUAGUCAGGUUUUUAUACCUAUAGCUGCUUAUUUAUAUAUAGCCUUUUUGGGCUGUGCUUCGCAUAAAUUUGGAUAGAUUAGAUUACAGAAAUAUUAUUAUUGUUGUCAUAAAAAAAAAACGACGUAUCAAACUUUCUUCCUGCUUUCUUUCUUCAUACCAUACAGCUUAGCAGACUUUCUUUAGCCACAGGUUCUUCGUACCAUGGCGUUGGCCCACUUCGAAUCUUACUGGAGCUCUCCACUAGCCAACUAAGCAGUAACAAUAUUGACGACAAAACAAUUGCCAUUUGCAAUUUCAGUUCCCGUGAUCUCAGUUUUUCAAUCAUUAUAUCCUCAUUGUUCUUGCUUCUUAGCAGACAAGGAAUUAGUGCGGUAGAUAUCGGGCACAUGAUUGGGUCAUGCCGCUCAAAAUAGUUGCAACCAGUGCCAUCUCUGCCACCUUUCUCAAUCAGCAAAAACAAAGACAAAAUUAACUUGGGAGUGUUGCACUUCAUAAUCACAAAAAUUGUCCAUACUUUCCUAGCGCUGCAAAGUUGCAGUUUGUCCAGGAAGUAAUCAUUGUUGCCGGCUCACCACAUUUGCAAAAAGUUUCUUGAUAUCAUAAUUUCUUACAAGGAGAUUAAGGAGCUUCGAUGAAGAUGAGUAAAGGUUUUUGCCCUAAUUAAGAAACACACAAAUAAUCUGCCAAAGAGAGAAAGGAUUCUGUGAUGCUUAACGUAGAUCUCUGUUUCUGGCUUGCUUUUAUGGUUUCUUUCUCCUGAGAUGUGGUGGGAAGCGCCCAAGGGGUAGUCUAGGGGCUCUUGGAUUGAAUGAGGUCUUAAAUUCGAAUCUUUUCCUAAACUUGAACCCUUCUAUUUAAUCUGAAUCCGUUAUGGGAGGUUGCGGUGUAUUCCCGAUUUAGUGUGUCGGUUGGGUGGAUCCGUUGUGGGGGGCUGCGAUGUAUCCCCGAUUUGCCUUGUUUGGAUUGCAACUUUUCGUCGGAAAAUUACGUUGUUUUCCGUGAUCACAUUUCCCUAUUAUCUUUUUUCCUCACAUACAUCAAAUCGCUACAGUAAUUUUUCCAUAAAAAAUCAUGAAAAAUGCAAUCCAAACACAACCUUAGUAUGUAGAUUUAGGUCCUAAGUGGUUCGAAUCGGAGCAUAUUCCAAAUCACCCAAAAAAAAUGUGGUGGGAAUCUCAAUUAGAAAGAGUUGGAUGCAGUUGGUUUUCAUUCUCUUUUUUUUUUUUUUUUUGGCCUUUAUCAACUAAUCUUAAUUGUGUUUGCACCUGUUUAAUUAACAACAUGUCAGAGUUUGAUAAUUUUAACCUAUUUUUUUGUGUUUAAAAGAAAAAUGAAAGGCUUUUAAGUCAUGACAUGUAACUGCAUGUACCAUUAUUUCAGUUACAAAAUGAAUGAAAUUCAUCAAUUGUCCAAUUUCCUGCAAAAUCACAUGAUCGAUUGCGAAUCACAUCUACGAAACCAAAUAGAUUGGGGAUUGAAAUUGCACAUGAAUGAUAGUUUGGGGAUUAAAACUACAAUUCUUCCCGUUUUUAUUUACCAAAUUUAUAAGUCAACUCAUUGAAAUUGUUAAAUGUUCUACCCUAGAAUGAACGCAUACUUUCCGCGCAACUAGUGUCAUCAGAUCUUCUUUAGCAAUGGUAGUACGAAAGACUUUUUCACGUAAGGUGUCCAAGCAUUGUAACUUGUGCCUAGUGUAGUGGCAGAGGUAGAGCACUAGACUUAUGUCCUCUAGGCAAGACUUCGUGUUCAAGAAUAAUUAAUUAAACUAAUUAAUUAAGAUGAGUUUUAUUGAAUGAUGGUAGGGCUUGUGUUUGGUAUUCAUUUGAUAGUUUAAUAAUUUGAUAGUUGAGUCAAUAAAAUGAAACGUGUAUCAGAAAAUUAAUGCCGAGUUUUAGACCCAUAAACUCACCUAGUAAUGAUGAGUUUUUAUAACAAGUUGUUAAUCAAAUUCUUGAAACUUAGAUUCAAGUUGAUGAUGAGUAAAUUGUAAAACGAUUUUGUGAAAAUCUUGGAAAAGUGCAAAAAUAGUUGCUCAGGGUGUUUUCCAUAUUUUUUCCUAACUUUUAAAAUGACACAAUUUUGUCCCAAAUGAUACCUAAAAUUUUUUAGUUGUGCACCAUAGGAUACUAAUUUAAGGGGCAAAAUAGGCAUCACACAGUAUUCUUGCUCAAACAUCAACUUACGCUUCACCCUACUAAACAAUAAAGAAUGAUUGAAGAUGAAACUAUUAUAUGUUAAAUUUUCACAUAUAAAUAUGGUCUUGAAGACUUUGAAGUAAGUUUGACUGUUUUUUUGAGAUAUUAUCAAAAAAUCAUUGAUCGAUAAUUAUUCAGCCCUAAAACUACAAAAGGAGGAGACUGUAAUUUUCACUAUAAUAUAAUAAACUUUUAGAUUAAUCUUUCUUACACUGACAGUUAUACACUGUCAGCCUUAAUUGAAUAACAAUUAUGCAACAUUUGAAUUGAAAUCCAACUUUUGCACGUGUGUUAUGGAUUCAACGGUAAUAGUAUAUAUAUUGUUAGUGCAUAUAAGAUUUUCUCUAAAUUUUUCUUGCUUAAUCGUGCCUUUAGAUUUCAUAGUGCACUUGGUCCUCUCAAAGAGAUGCCUUUAGGUUUAUCAUUCAUUUAAAUGGAAAUUCCCCAAUAUUUGUCUGAACGAAAUAUUUCUUCCCAAAGAGUGCGUUUUGUACACGUAAUGUACUAAAUUGUGUCCUUUUAAAAAUAAAAGGCUAAAAGAGGACAAACACAAAAUUUGAGGGACAAUCAGUGUGAUUUCAAGAUGAUUUAACAUCCAUAAAUAAGAUAAUAAACGCAUAUGAUUUAUAACUCUGAAUUUAUAUUUUUGACUUCAUGCAAUUUUGGUCAAGGAACACUGACGCCCCAUUGGAUAAAUGAGUUUUUUUGGUGUUUGUUUAAAAUUUUAUGAUAACUUACUGUAGAAGUUGUAGAAAAUUUUUUUGAAGUGUGUAAAUUUUUGGAUAUUUUGAAAUAUAUAGUUUAAAAAUUUUGAGAAAUAUUUUAAUAUUACUGUAAUUAAAGUUGUUAAAAAACUUGUAACAGAAAAACUUGGCAAAAAACUUGCUUGCCAAAUAAGGCCUGAAUUUUCGAGUAGUCCGAACUAGGUAGAAUAUUUGACCAAAAAAAACAAAAGAAUGAGGUAGAAUAGUUUGGAUGUGUAUACAGGCAUCAUGAAAUAAGCCAAGGAUGUAGAAAUUUUAAUUCUUUUGAACUUGGGUUUUGCCUUUCAAGUUUAAUUUGCCCUGAUUUUACACUAGAUUAUAAACUUUUGAUUGAUCCGAUUGUACCUGUGAUGAUUUUUGAAAUUAGUAUAUGAUAAUUUCUUGACUAUUUGUACAUAAAAAGGUUGAUUGCGUUUAAACCGCUGCCUGUUUCCUCCACAGAUUCUUCUUCACAUUGACAACCACAUAUUUGUAUCAAUAUCUAAAAUAAGUCUAAUUCAGCAUAACCCCUAUAGUUCUAAGUGAAAUGACAAUUUCUACCAUGAUAAAGAUGAACAAAUUACUCACAUACUGCAAGAUUGCACAUCUUUCUGCCAAUAAAUUGAGCAGUUUUAUACUGUAACAACAGUAACUAGUCAUUUAGUUAGAGAAUGUGAGAUGCAUUACAUAAGUCUGAAAAGAGAUAGUUUAGAAUUAACUAUAUUUAUACACUUUUUUAUUUGAAAAGAAGUGAGGCGCUGGGAGAUUCUAUCAUGAGUAAUUUGCAAAAUCUAUUCACCAAAAAUUUUUUUUUUUGCAAAAUCUGUUCAUUAUGGCCAAAUCUUGGCCAAGGCCUUGUACUGCAAAAUCAGAAAUGCAGGGGAUCAUUUUAGUUUACAAUAUCUACAUACUUACAAGCAAGUAAUUCAAUGUUAAGUUGUUAAUGAUAUCAACACCUAACUUAGGCCCUAUUUGGUAAUUCAAUUCAACACUUAAAUUUAAUGGAUUUAGACUUUAACAUUUAGACGGUUUUGAUAACCAAAAAUAGAAUAUCUUAAUUAAUUAAAUGGCUCUAAAUUGUCUAAUCAAAACUUACUCUAAAAAAAUAAGUGACAAGCUGAUCACUUAUCAUUUUACGUAGAAUACACUCAAAUGUUAGUAUUUUAGUAAAUAACAAUUCAUUAAAUUAACGAUUUCAGAUUUCAGUUUUAUCAAAUACAGGCUUAGGGUCUGUUUGAUAACAUAAAAAAGUGUUGAAUCUGAACUUUUUCAGACAUUUAGAUGUUUUGAGUAUUUGAUAAAUGAAAAUCCAUUUGCUCAAUUUGUUAAGUAGUGCUGAACUUGUGUGUAUUUUUUUCAGCACAAGAAUACUAACUGAAUGCUUAAUUCUGAUAAAAAUCAAUAGAAUUACUUCAACUACCUUAUCUUAUCUACCAAACCUACCCUUGUUUAUUAAUUAUAUUCAAAAUCCUUAUCUAAUUAAACAACUUAACAUUCUCUAUCUAAUGAUUUUCUAUUUCUCUUUUCUGCCUUUUUAAUGACUUUCACAUAUUACCCAUACUCAUAAUAUAAUAUAUUUCAUCUUUUAUAUUAAUUUGAUUUAAAAAUAAAUAUUGUCAAUUUCAUACCUAAAAAUUUUAAGCUAAUUAAAUCAUAGGUUCUAUUUCUUUUUUGGAAGAAAAGAUAUAAGGGCAAAAUUGUUAAAUUUAACUUAUUAAGCAUUCGGUUAUAAAUGUUUAUCAAACAAUAUAAAUAGAUUCAGCAUUAAAAUUCAGACAUUCAUAUAUUUCUUUUUAGUGCUUAAAAUUUAGUAAAUUAAUUAUUUCAAUAUUCAAAUUUCAGAAUUCAGACUCAACUUUAUCAAACAAAACCUUAGUCUAAACUCUGAAAUGAACAAGAUGAAAUAGGCAUUUCAAUUGUGAGGUAAAAUCUUAAAAUGAUACGAGGUUCUUAGAAAUAGAGGAAAUGCAAGUAUUUGACUACGGUUGUAAGAUAUAUUAACGACUACUUCACAUCAUAGUUUGUUCAUAAGCAACAAGAUACCUAGAACAUUAACAUUAUAAAAUUGAAGCAAAAGAUGUUCUAGGAGUUUAAUCUCCGUAAUAGAAUGUGCAAAGGCCUUUUUGCUGGGAUCCAGCGCAUCAUAGUGGAUCUUCUGUAAAUUGAAUGAAAUUAAUGAGUGCUGAAAUAUGUAUUGAGUGCCCCCAUUAUGUUUAUGCCCUUUUCUUCUUGUUUCUGUUGUAACAUUCCACUCAUUUGUUGGUUGCCCAAAGAUGUAGCAAAACAUUUAAAUCUUUGGUAUGAGUGCAAAAGGGUGAUAAAUCUCAUUUCUCCAGCCACAAACCUUUGUUCUGUUUAUGAUCUGCUAAGGGCAACUAAUACAUGCGUGAAUAGGAACAUCUAUCAAAUUACUCUCAGAAGAAGCAGAGUAGCAAUAAUUGAACACCAGCCACUCUAUGUAAUAUGCAAAAAAAAAAAAAAAAGCCAGCAUAUCCUGCAGUAGUUAAUAAAUUAUCCACGUUCUCUUUUGCCCUUUACCGUCCCUAGCACCACCAAAAGGUUCAAAGGUAGGAUACGGCUGCAAAUAAUCCCAAAUCGAGCCGAGUUUGUCUUUGAUUGCAAGGUAGCUCUUCUACACCUGGCAAACCUAGGGAAUUCCCCAGCUCAUCGGACACCAAGCUGCGGUCGUGAAUAGCCUUUGAAACAGCAACUCAAUGAAUGCUAAUUGUUCAACACCCAAGAAUGCUAAAACUGCAUCAACAGAACCAGUUUUGAAAAGUGAAUCUCAAUAACACGCUUCUAAUCAGAUUUUAGUAGAAACACUAGCCUAGAUCAAUUCAAGAAGUAGCGUAACAUGUCACCCUUAAUAGAAUAGCGUAGCUCAAACUUUGGCUUAUUACAAGACAAUAUGCCAAUCCAUUCCAUGAGUUUCCUUUAUGAGCAAAUGAAGUCACCAAAAGUGGUAAUACACAAAAUGUAGACAAAGCAGUACUGGCAGAAUCAUAGAAAUCCAAAACUCUGGACAAGCCAAGAGAAGAUGUCCAUAAAAUUACAGAGAAUUGUGAAACUCUUUUUCCUAACAGGAAUGAAGUACAUAUCCAAAUAAAUGAGACGAUCAUUUUGAAGAAAUUGAUUUAGCACCUACAGAAUCAACUCCCUGAUUAAAGCAUAGGAAAUGGGCUUGCCUCAUAGUUAAAGUCUCACGAGCUGUUGGCCAGAGCUGCAAGGGAUUGUCAACACCACAUGAACUUUUAAUGAAACAGAAGCCUACAUGUUACUCCAUUGACAAGCCUACUAGUCUCGUUAACCAAGGAGAACUCUAGCUAAAUUUCCAUGCGUAAAACAGACACCAGAGGCACUGAAAAAGAUGUAUGAAGCUCAAACAUCUGGCACAACAGUUGAAAGCGCAUUACACAAUGCCCAAAGGUUUUCCUGUCAACAAAAUCAAAGUAAACCAGCACUAAUCGAUAACCAAGUCUGCAUAGUCAAAAUAUUCAUCGUCAAGAUCAGAGAAUUCAUAAUAAUCAUCAUCCAAAGACAUAUGGUCGAUGUCUGAAAAUCUGAACGAAUAAUCUUCAUCAGAUGAUUCAAAAUCCUCAAUGUGACAUUCAAACUCAUAAUCUUCAGUUGAGUCAUGAGGGCGCUUCAAUUCUUUGAUUUGUUGAGAACACCUUCUUUCUAGACUACCUUCAAGACAAAGAUUGAAACAAUGCCGCAAAUCAAGUGACUCAAGGUGAUGGCAACCAUCAAGAAUGGCCUUUAGUCCUUCAUUUGUCAUCUUGUUUCCAAAAAGCUGAAGAUGACAUAAUGAUGGCAUAUUUUCUGCAACAGCUAAUGCCUCCUCAUCACAUUCUAUUUGUGGCCGUCUAAAGCCUUGGCUAUUCAACCUAAAACACUUUAAAUGAGGGCAUGAAUGACCAACAGCUUCAAUAGCUUCUUUGGUGAUUCUAGUAUAGUACAGUUGCAGUUCCUCCAGAUAUGGCAUUUUCUUAACCGCUUUGCUUAGUGCUUCACCAGAUAAAUGAUAGCAAAAUACUAGCCGUAGACGUCUGAGUUGACCUGAUCUGUUUGCACCAAUAAUAAAGCAGAAAAUACGGAAAAUUAAGGCAUAUUCUACCAUCUAUGAUAUUGGAAAGGAAUAGAGAUAAGCAGUCAUAACUCCAUAAUACACUACAAUGAGAUGUAUUAAAGUAUUGAAAAAAAAAAUAACCAUUAUGGCUUAAGGUCCAAAUACAUAUCAGUAUACAUUACACCAAAAUAAUUAUCUCCAUGCUGUUUACAUCUCCUAAUGGCCUUGGAUACUCUAUGGCAGUUAAAAUAUCUAGUUCCCAAUUUGAUCAUAUAGUCAUUCAGUAAGGGUUAGGCCUUGUACAAAAGUAUAAACUCAAUUCUCUUUAACAGGUGCAAUUCUCUUACAGACACAAUAGACCACAUGAAAUGAUCAAGGUUAUUUCCAAAAGAAAAGGAAAGGAGAUACAUAAUACAAGCAAAAACUAUAUCUGGUCUUUUUAUGAUACAUCAAAUUCACCACAAUUCAUAAAUUGCUUCAAAAUCCCAGAAGACCUCAGCAGCUGAGAACAUUUUCAGCAGUCUAACAACUACUAUGAAACAUAAUUUGCCUUCAGGACAUGACAUAAUAUUGUAACAAUAGACCCCUGCAACACUAUGGGUAUUCAACCUUUCUAUUAGACUAGUUGAUGCUGGCAAAGAGAGAAAGCAAAAUGAUAUUAUUAAUUAAUAAAACCCUAAGCUCCAUUUGGAUGAUGCUAUAUAUAAAAUAUAUGUUUUCGAAAAACUAUCAAUGUUCCAAUCACCGUUUAUUUCACAUACUCAGUUUAUCCAAUAUAUGAAAAAAAAGGGAUACUUUUCUUAAAAACACCCUAAAAGCAAUAUCCAAUCAAAGCCUGGAGUAUUUGGGUGGCACAAAGCAAACCCUAGAUGUAGGCUGAAUUACAGCAACAUGUUUGGGUUCUCUGAUAAUAAGUUACACAAGAGGUACAUUUGAUUAACCAUAAGACACAAUAAGGCUAAACUAGAAUGAAAAGAAGCUUAACUGUAAUACAAACUAAUUUAAUUCUGUUUCUUUCUUCUAGAAAAAGUAAAUAAGAUCUAUAUAAUACUAAAAACCUAACCAGCCACAAAAGUAGACACCAUCAAAGUCCCAAGUGACAAAAGCACCUCAUUUCCACAGUAAAUAUGCAGUGCCCAUGAUCAUUAUGGUCCUGCAUCAAUGUAUUUUUCUGGCACUUUCCAGCUAGAAAUUUACAGUGUCAUUGUUUUCCUUAAUUUAUCUCAUAAAAACUUAAUCGAAAGCACCCAUGUCUAGAAACGCAGUGAUGGUGCUGGUAUGGAACAGGGUUGGAUACAAUCAAUUGUAACUUGGAUGCGUUGACUUAAGAUUGGGGAGACUACACUGGAGCAAGUUUGGCAUGAACCCUCCUGGCCAUUGAGGUGAAUUGAAGAAGCAAUUCAGCUAUAUAAAGAAAUUAGCAUACUCAAAUACAUGUAUAAAUUUUCUACUACCAUGGAGUUCCGAGUCCUAAUAUAAAACAUGCUCUACACCAUAUCCAAGUACCUCUACUGAACUUUUGCAAUCAAAACCUGAUAGAUACAACCAACUGCAAGUAACAUGGAUGCAAUUGCAGAAUACUUAACACAUGCAUAAUGAAGUGCAGCAAAGAUUACCAAUAACUAUCCCUCACCCUUGGUGCGGUGGAAUGCAGGGCUUUCCCUUCAAAUGCAAAUGACUAAAAAUGUUAUAGGUAGAUUUAGUGGUGACUAAACUACUAAAGACAGUUUCCAUAUCGUUUGUGCUAUAUUCAAGGCCAUUAGUCCUAGGGUAAUUUCAGCAACAACACUGUGUGACACUCAUGAGUAAACUGAACGAAAAUCAUGGGUAACUUUUGCUAGUACACUAAUUCUAUCUAGAAAGAACAUGUAAAAGAAUUGAGAGAGAGGUACAAAAACAUGGAACAGAGACGCUACAGCCAUACAGAAAGUCUUAUUAACAGAUAUAUGAUCUAGGAUGAAUAUGCAAGAAUAGUGACAUUCUGGAUUUCAUAAAGUGCGUUAUCCAAGGAUUUGCAGCUGUGUCACAGGAAGAGGAAUUAUCUACUAUACCGAUUUUAUCAUAUUAAAAAUAAACUCUCAAUAAAGGAAAAUUAAAAAACUAUCAGCAAUCUACUGAGGGAAAGUUCAAUGACUUCUUAGUCUACUUUUUGGGUCUCAAAUAAGUGCUCUAAUACUCAUGGGCCACUAAUACUCAAGUAGCAUGCUUACAAGAGCAUGUGAAAACCAAUUCUAGAAGAAAUGACAAUAUUCAUCAUUUCAAUUCAAACCAAAAGGCUUUAAUUUUCUCCGACAUGCAUUGAUUCUCCUAUAGUUCCAACCCACAUAUAACAAUAUGACCCAAAUAUAAGUGCCAAGAUUACCAACAACAAUAACUAAGAGUCUCCAUUUGAUCUAUAAUUUUAGAAGUCAUAUUUUUUUUUGGUUGCAAUCCAAUAAAAAAUUACAUUACCAAUCAACAUAACUAAUGGUUUAAUUUUAAUCACUUAUUUUUUUAACAUAACUUGAUCCAAUAUUGAAUAAAAAGAAUUGCAAAAGCAAUAGACGUUGUUAAUCUCUGGUAGUAGAUUCAAUUCUAGAGCUUACACAGGCAUAAAAAAGUAACAAGAAUGAGGUAGCACCAAAGAGUUAAUUAAUAAUAAUGAUUGAAUGUCCCUCAUUUUCCUCGAAUUUGUCGGUCUUUCUGUCAAAAGCUUUUCAAUGUCACAAAGCACUGUAAAUGGUGAAAAAGAUUCCCAUAUGGGGCAGGCCAAAUUAACUCUAAACCCACCCAUGUUUCAAGAACUAGAUUCUUUUUCUUUUUUUUUUCCCUUUAAAAAAAAAAUUAACCCCAACUAUGCUCCAGUAUGGGUUUCCUAAUCAAACUGUAUUGUAUUCUAGGUCACUCUAUCAAAUUGUAUCCAAUCUGGAAUACUUUAAACAGUUAACAAGAUCCUCAUGUGGGACAGGCUAUUUCGGCUGUGAAUUGCCCGGGUGACUACAUUUCCUUUCUAAUGGCCCAACUACACCUGCAAAACCCAUAAUUAUUACCGUUCCCCGCAUCAGUCCUCUAGGUUGUCACAAACAGGCUAGGAAUAAACUUGCUCAAAUUUCCUGUUUCUGUUGUAUUAUAUAGAGGCGUGACCUGUAAUUUACUUCUGAAUCAAAUCAAAUCCUGUCCAUUUUCCACCCAUUUAAUCUUCUCAUACACUAGUUAUCUGUAUUAUGAAUAUAUCCCUAAAAUAAGCACUUGGCAAAUGGAAAUUGCCCAGUUUAACGGAAUAAAAUUAAUCUCCGUUGCACUCAAACUACAAUUUGCUAGGGAUAAUUGAAUUUAUUCCUCAACUCAGCGAUAUAAAUGAAUUUGCUACGCAAUAAAGCUGAACUAUGUCUCAAGAAUUCAAAAAAAUUCACAGUUAUUUUUUCGAGGGAAAAUCAUACCGCUGGGAGAUGUAACAGAGCAAGUCAUCGGUGCCAAAGAACUCAAUGUUGAUAUCAAUCAACUGGCCUUGGCUACGAUCAACAGCGUGGCGGCAAAUCUUCUCAAGGUCAUAGGCGGAGUCCAAGAGGCUUCCGUCGUUCCGCAUAUCAUUGCGCAGGUCGAUAAUGCGCCACAUGGCAGGGUCGACGCACAGGUCCCGCCAAGUUUUACAAACCAAUUGGACGGUCGUGAGAAUCUCAAUUGUACCCAAUUUUUGCAGAAUUAUCGUUGUUAUCUCUGGCGGCAGCUCCACCCACGGCGGUGGCGGAGUUGAUGCCGGUGGGAUUGACCCCAUUUUUUAGGGAUUUAUUCGGAAUGAAGGGUCUGAGGGCAGGGGAAGAUUGAGGAAUGGCAGAGAUAUACGGUUGAUUUUUUAGUACAGAGCCAACAGCUAGUUUGGGAGUUUAGAAAGGAAAAGAUGAGAAAACUUAAAUUAAAAAAAGAAAAGCAAAGAAAAGAAGUAGGAGAAAUUGUUUCGGAGUUUUGGAAAGGGAAUAGCACUAAUAUUGAUUUUUUACUAAAGUGCCUAACCUUUUUAUGUUUUUAAAUUAUAUUUGAAGAGUAAGUAUGAUAUUUCAUUUUUAGUUGCUAGAGUGGUCAAGUUUUCCUUCCAUUUCAUUCCACUCUUGGUCGAAAAUGCUAGUGGGUAUUUAAAGAGAAAAAAAUCUUUUCAUUUUCAUUGCUUUCCUUUCCUUCCUCCCACUUAAAAAUUCCCAAACCUAUAAUUUUCAAAUCUUUCUCUUUAAAUCCUUUCUUUUCCUUUGUUUUCCUUCCAUCCAAACGGACUAUAAAGGGCGUUGAAGGAAUUGAGCAUUUUUUUUAAGUGUAGAUGGGAAGUUUUGACUAGGGAUGGCAACAGGAUCCUCGCAGAGUAUUGGGCCGAGGGAUGGGGUGAGAUAGGAGUGGGAUCGGGGGAAGGGAGGGGAGGGAGUCGGGAAUUUUCUCUUCCUGUUUUAAAUGAGGCGGGAAUGGGGGACGAUACCCGCGCCCCGUUCCCUAUUUCAACUUAUUAAUAUAAAUAAGAAUAAAUCUUAUAUAUACUAACAGUGUAUACACUAUCACGGCUGGAUACAUUGUGAGGAUUCGAAAAAUUUUCUUAUUUUUAUCGAAUAUUAUUGGUUUAUUUAAAUAUUUAUUCAUCCGUUUUCUUCGAAUAAUUUAUUCCAACCAUUUUAAGUCCAUUCAUAUGGAACAAUGUCUCUCUUAUGUUUUUAAAACGUCCCAUUAGCAAAUUUAAUUUUUCGAAAGUUUGUUUAAGUGAGGAAUAACGAGUAUACGUGUUUCGAGACGAUAUUUUAGCCGAGAGUACAAUUACCUUGGACAAUUAAGAAUGAUCAAUAGUAGAUUGAGAAAAAUUAAUUGAGGGAGUAGAGAUGAAUGAGUUCUAAUUAAGUUACCUCAUGUUCGCGUCGAAUGUUUUCAAAAAAUCACACCGCGCGGCAAAUUGGAGGCUCGAGGAAUCAAUGUGUGAGUACUCAUGGUUUAUUUCUAAGAUAACUAUUUUUUAUGAUUAAUUACCCUAAUAUUAGUUACUUCUAUUAUUGUUACAAGAAUUUCUUUUAAGUUUCACUUUAUCGCGCACGAAUCGAAAAUUCGCGUAAAUCGAACCAGAGCGGCUAAGUGGAGAUUUAAGAAACUUAAUCUAAACUACUAAGAGUGAAUAAUUAUAAUGCUUAAGGAAGUGCAUUAGAUGUUUAGUGCACAAGUGAAACAAACCCGAGAGCAAACGGGCACGAAACGCGCGCGUACGCGCACUAUUGGAGAGUUGACUUUUGUGCACAAUGGCCACCAACCACCAAGCUUCCAUGUGAAGCUUCAUUAUCAGAUUUUCACUCCCUCUCACCUCACUCAUGCUGGCCGAAACUCCAUAGGAGGAAGAAGACUAAAACCUUUCACUAUAUCACCUCAUAUCUUCCAUCAAAUUCACUCCAAAUUCAUACCACAACUUGCAAACAACUUGGAGACUAUCUUGGACUAGGAAAAGAGCACCAUUUCCACGGUUUCUUGGAGCUCAAAGUGACCGAAAAUUCUGCUCUAACAACACCAAGAGGUAGUGAAUCAUCCAACCUUUGAAUCUUAGGGCCUGUUUGGAGCCUUGGUUUUUUAUCAAGUUUGUAUAAUACUAGUUUUUUAACAACUUUUGCUACAGGAACCCCAAAAAACUUAUCAAAAUUUUUAACCUACACACUUCAAAAAUACACAAAAAACCUUCCUUUCAACUUUUCUUCCUUUUCCUUCCCCACCAUAAGAAUUCGUGAUGCACGUCAUCGUAGUAAUAAUAUUCGAAUUCGGGUUCGGGUUUGGGCCAGGGUUGGGUCUACUAGGGUUUUGGAGGAAGUAGCUGUGGGGGACAAAGGGCGGUGGAGACUGGUGGUGGGGAUGAGGCCAUGGUGGCACUGGACCAUUAAAGAGCUGUUGGAAGGGGAGGGUGUGGCUGACAGCGGCAACAGCGAGGUCGCGAGGAAAAAUCCGGGCAGGCGACGGCUGGGGGAGUUGUGGUUGUGGCUGUGGGGAAGGGGCAUGCUGAAGCUGGUGGUGGUGGCAAGUGGGCGUUAGUGCUGGAGUUGGAGAAGGAAUUUUCCGCUGUCAACUAGCAGCGGGGCCUCGCUGCUACCGCCGGCCAUAGUUGAAGUAGCAGAGGACUAAAAGAGUUGGAGAGGCAGCAGAUACAGUAAUACUAGCAGCAAGCACUACAUGCCAUGGGUAGAUGGUGAAGUUGGAUGGGCAGAUCGGAUCAGAUUUGGAUUAGGAAAUUGCAAAGUAGUUUCCUUUCUACGAGGAGGAACUCCUCCAUUUCGAUUUGAGUUCUGCUCCUCCGCACAUCAACUUCUACUCGUCCACUUCUACGAGGCAAGAAAGGGAAAGGGAGAGGGAGAGGGAAAGGGAAGGGUGGCAAGGGAGGGAGAGGGGAAGAGAAAAAAGGAAAAAAAAAAUGCAGAAAGAAAGUUGCUGCCAUGGAAGUCUAGGGACAGGGAACAGGGGAGGGAGAAGAAGCGGGAAGGGAGGAAAGAAAAGGAAAAAGAAAGAAAGAAAAAAAAAAGAAAGAAAGAAAGUGAAAAGGAAAAAAAAUUCAUCUUACAAAAGUUUUUCUACAACUUCUACAGUGAUCUACAGUAAAGUUUUAUACAAACACCCAAAAAACUCACUUUCCAAACAGGCCCUUAGUUUUAGUGAGUUAAAUUACACUUAGAAGCUUGUAGCUUCAUGUAGGUAACUUUGGUUGGUUGAAAUUCAUGUGAGUAGGCUCUAUAAAAUCUCACAAUGAAUAUGUUGGACUGAUAUGGUGAUUUUGGAUAUUAUUGAUGUUGAUUAAGUGUUAAACUAGUGGAUUUAGGUUGAAAAGUGGAAAGAAAAAUCAAAGGAAACCAAAGAAAGGAAGGGGCCGAAUCUGCCCUAUUCUUGCCGCAGUCUUAAUUCGAUUUUUUUGUGAUCAAAUUAUCUUGAUUUUGAUGUAGAUAUGUUGUAUAGGUUAUGUGGAAAGUUUUCACCAAAAAUCACUUGAUUUGGUUAGGUAAAAGUUGCAUUUUCGAAAAUCCUUCAAACCUGGAAAACGUGUACAGAGGUACUCUGGUAGCGAACUUUAAACGAUCAUAGCUCUUUGCUCCGACGUCGCAAUUGAGUGUUAUUUGUGCAUUUGAAACUAGACACUUCCAGUUUUCUAACAGUAUAAAAUUCAUCCCCUGAUUCGACUUGAGUGAACGGUACUAGUUCUUCAAAGUUACCUGUCCUGUUUCACUGCUGUGCUAGAGAACCUGUGAUGUGCUGUGACUUGUUGUUUGAAUUUGAGCUAGCUAUGAACAGAAUUUCAAAAGGAUUUCUUCUGAGAAAUUGUAGCUCUAUAAAUUUAGUUUCCAAAGCUACCAAUCAUGCCCAAUUCCAAGUUGAAUUGACUGAGUUAUGGCCAAAUUACAGACCUGCACCAGAGAUAGAAAACCCUAAUUUUGGGCUAGCUGAUGGCUUAGCUCGAAUUGGGACUUGUUAUUUUGAAACUUUUGGUGUUAAUCACCUACCAAAAGUAUUUUGGAUGUUUCUUAGAUCUUUUCUUCAUAAAUGAAUUAUGUUUGAGAUGAUUUCAUUGGCCAAAUAUUUGAAAACGGAAAAUGGAAGCUUGAAGACAGAUUUGUCUUUGGAUUCCCUUGAUCUUUGGUAGUUUAGUUAACUACCUUCCCUUGUGAAUUUUCAAGUGAAAUUUGGUAGAGGGGUAAUCUGGAAAAUUGCCUAACAGUCUCGAUUUUUGGCCAAUUUUGAGCUGCUAUAUCUUGAUGCUUAAAACUCCAAUUUUGUUCUGUUUGUUAUGUUUUAAACUUUGAUUGUAACUCUAAUUGAGUUUCAAAUUUGAGAGGCUAUUUCAUAUUCUGUGAAUUUUUUCGAAUUUCCAAAGUUUGCCAAAAAUCAACCCCGAAUCUGUCUUGGAAAUACAAGUCAACAACUUCAAGCCAACAUUUGAGUGUCUUCCACUUAGAAUCAUAGAAAAAUGUCUUCUAGGAACUUUUAGUACUUCGGAACUAGUUUCCAACGGUACCAAGUUUUCCAAUUUUGGACCUACGAAGAGUGAGAUAUGAUUUUUCAAAGAAUGCACCUCAAAUUUGAAAUUUUGAAACUUGACGGGAAUUGAGUUUUUGGAGACUCUUUCCUAUCCUCCAAUACUAAUUGACCAUUUUGAACUUGUCUUCAUGAAGGAAAUUAGUUUUUCCUUAUGUUGUUAAACAUCACCUUCGAACCUUGAAUUUUGAGCAAUUAAGGGUCAUUUUCAUGAUAUUCUCUAAAAUUGUACAAAUGUGCAAUCUUUUUUGAUAAUUGGGGUUUCUAAGUAAUAGUGUGUAACAGAUAACUAUUGUUUGCUCAAACAUUCAAGGGGACCUUCGAGAAGACCUCACAACGGAUGCUUAAGUACUUGAAUUGUGCAACACACUCUCUUAUUUUGAUAAGUGAAUAUCAAGUAUAUGUGAACUUGUUACGUGCUUAGUUGUUAUUAGUAAUUGGAGAUUUUGAAAAUGUUGAGUCGAGUGUGUACUUUACCGCACUCGUUCUCAUUUGAAUGAAUAAUGAUUGAAUUGAUUGAAAUGAAAUGAAUGGAUUGAAGUGUAUUGAAUGGAUUGAAUGAAAUGAAAUGGUAUGCUAUGGCUGCAUACGUCGUUGGAGUGAAUCUCCUCGACUCAUAAAUGUUAAAUAGGGGACGUCCAAACUCAUAGGCCGACGUUGGACUCGAGCCGGCAUAGGAUUAGUCGGGAAUCUUGGUGAGCCAUGGGAAUGAAUGAUAAGCUUGAUCUAUUGGAGAGAUCUUACUUGGCUUACUCAUACAGUAGCGCCUUUAACGCAGUUCAGGCCCGGUUGGGGGUUGUAAGGUGGAAGGACUUGUGAAGUAAAGUAAGCUCUACGGACUUAAAAAUACCGACAUGGGUGAUGAAGUGUCAUCGUGGGAAGGUAUUCAAUCGAGAUUGGCAAAGCAAGUGAAAAUUAAUUCUCGAGAGCUACCAUAUCCUUGAAUUGUUUCUGUUUAAAUUUCACUUGAAUUGUUAAUUACUCGAAUAUUAUUGUUUUACUUGUUGGAUGGGAUUGUUACUUGAACAACGUGCUUGCAUGUGUGUUCUUAACCUCACAAGCAAUUACUCAUCCCGUAGAUUUGUUUUCCUUAAUAAGAACGGAUUUGGAGUAAAACUCGAAGAAACCUUUGGGAUGUACUUUUGUGUUAGAGUUUCAAAUGUAAUCGAUUAGACAUCUUCUGGCAAUGGUAUAUUUUGGGAAACUAAUGUAUUUUGAAGUUGCGAUGUAAGAUUGAAUAUUUAUAUAUGGAAGCAUCUGCAUUUUCUUACUUUGUCUUGUCGUUUUAGUUAUCAUUGUAUUAAAUUUGAACGAGAAUUGUAUCGAGUCCUAGCAAGAGUUGGGCAAGCGUCCCGCCGAUACCCUUUGGUUCGCCUUAGGGAGAAGUGAGGGCGUCACAUACAUGACACAUAUACAAAAUUUGGAUUUCAAAUUCAAAUUUGGAUUAUGUGUCAUGCAUCCAAAAGUGAAAGUGUAUACACUGUCAGUAUACUGUCAGUAUAUAGAAUAUUAAUCCUAUAAAUAAAUGUAAUAAAUUAUAUAAUCUAAUAAUAAUAAAUUUAGAAUAUUUGACAACUAAAAAUAACCUUUAUCCCAUUUCUAUCUAAGCAAGAAUCCACUUGCCUUAUUCCAAAGUUUCAAGACCAAUACAAGCAGACAGUAAAGUCACCAUUGCACGAUUAUCAUGCUUCACUCUUGCUCUCUACAUAUCAUCAUAAAGUACCAAGACUUCAUUAUACCUAACAAACCAGCCUAUCCGGUGAUCAAUGCAUUCCAAGAAAACAACAUCCUUCACAAACAUUUUAUCAAAAACCUUCCUUGCCUCAUUAAGAAGUCUAGAAUUCCUAUACCUUGAAGGCAUAAAAUUCCUAGACUCCAACUUCUUUACAAGCACUUCACUAAAGGUGUUAGGACACUGAUUUAGGAACACCAAACUCCUAGUUGAUAUUUGGCACAAACAAGCAUGUUAUGUGCUCUAUGCGUAUUCCCAAGUGUUAUAUAUAAAAUCUAAUUGAGGUUAUUAAUUUUCUUGGUGAUUUAUUUCAACGCUUUUCUUGUUUCAUUUUUUCCUUUUUCACUUUUUUCAGCUCCCUGUUUUAUUUUAUUUUUUGAAUUUGGCUUUGAUAUAUUGAAUAGAGACUUUUAGAAAAAAAAAAACAAAUUAUCACCAUGGGAGGUAUGACGACCCCACCUCCUCCUAAAGCAUAUCUAAGGGUUUAGCGGACCGCCUGUCCAACUCUCGUCAGGGCUUACUCACUAACAUUUUUGAAAUAGUCUUUCACGCCUCUAAAUUAACAUUAAAGUUCACAAUUCAACCAAAAAGUUUCAACUCCAAAAGUGAAACAUAGGGGUACAUUACCAAAGAUCCCAAAUACAUUCCAUGUACAAAAGUACAAGUACAUGAAGAUUAUACACUUCACGCUUACUUGCUCCGGCCUCCACUCCUGUAAGGAAAACAAAACUAAAGCAAUGAACUAAAAAUCCAGUGAAGUUCCCAAACAAGCAGUCAAGUAGGUAAAGCACAGAAAUAUUACAUUUAACACUUCACACACUUUGCACAGUAAUAAGUAGUCAUUCAAGAAACAGACAUUCAAUCAUUGGAAGGAUACAUGCUCACUUAGAGCCAUGCAUUCAGUCAUUCGUCCAUUUCCCUUAUACCUCCGACAUUUGAAAGCAUUUAAAAGUGAAAACUCCUUCAGUGUUCAUUCAUUCAGUCAUUCAUUUCAAUUAUUACAUUACAUUUACUAGCCAGUACUUCACCCGAUUUUGUGGUUAUACUCGAGUAUACCUAACACUGUCCCAAUGUCACCAACCGCCCGACUGUGUCAACUUCUGGCUCGAGUCGACUGGCAACGAAGAGCCAGAGCCCAAUUUAGCCAAAGGCUUACAUUUAUGCACAAGCAACAUUCAAUCAUUUGAUCAUUGGAAAUUCACAUUCACUUAGGUCGAGUGCGAUAAAGUACACACUCAUCCAUCGAAAAUCCAUUUAACAAUCAUUGAAAAGCAUUUAACAUUCAAGCAAACAUUCAUAACAUUCCACAUAGUCAUUGGAAACACAAACAUGCAAGGAACACUCACCAAUCAAUCGCAAUCUUUCACUUCAACCCUGGUUCAUCCUCUUGAACUUUCUCGAGUCCUAUCGUCAUAUACUAUAUUAAAAGAUUAGCAAUACAAACCAAAAUACAUGAAAAAUUUGAGGUUUCAAAACUUCAUUUAAAAAAUGUGUCAAUUUACAAGUUUUAUACCCAUAUAACUUAUCAAAAAUAUAAUAUUUUCUUGUUGAAAUCGAGGAGAAAAUCUCAUGUGCAUACUAAAUCAAUGUUGCAAGAGUUAUUUGGAGUACAAGAGCAUCGAUUGCAAUCAAACAUUUAAGGAAACUAAAACAAAACUUUCAAAGUGCAAAGUUGGGAAUUGUCCAACUAGAAAAUGAUUUGAAGAAACUCAUUCUUUCAUUUAAACCUCUUAUCUUGACUCAAAACUAACACAGAUGCAAAGAAAUAGAUUGUAACAAAUGUUUUGAAUUAAAUCAUAUGCAAGAGGAGAACAAAAAUGCCUUAGAUUCACACCUCAACCCUCACUUGACCAACAAGAAGAAAAUCUAGCAAUAUGUCCCAUAUUUCUUUAAGUUAAUCAUUCCAUUCAAAUUUUAGUUUCAUAGUAAGUGAACCUCUAUCAAGGCUACAAAACUAUCAACUUUAAACAUAUAUAUUAAGUUCCAACUCACUUACACCAAAGCUGAAUUUUUUUUAUCUCAAAGCUGGAAUUUCAAACCAAAGCUGGAAAUAUUCAUAUCAAAACUAAAAAUUGCAUACCAAAACUUGAACAUCUCCUAAUAAAGCUGAAAUUGACAUUCCAAGGGCUGAAAAUAACAUAAUAAACCUAGAAAUUGACCACUAAAGCUAGACAAAUCAUACAACAAAGCUAGAAGUGCAUAUCCAAGAUAGGUAUCUUCAUAUCAAAACUCAUAAGUCCAUAUCAAAGCUGGAAACUCUCAACUCAAGGAUAGAAAAUAUCAAUCAAAGCUGAAAAUUAACACUAAAGUUGAAAAUUCAAAUAUAAGAGCAAGAUAACCUCAUACCAAAGCUUAAAUUUCAUAUCCAACCACAUAUCAAAGCUGUCCAACACAUUCCAAAACUGAAAAUUGCAACCUAGUAAGCAAAACCAUGAAAUCUUCCAUGAAAUCCACUACAAUCAAGUCAUAUGUUGCUUAAAUUUCAAGAUAAGAAGGAAAAGAGAGAUUUUUUAAUGAUAUACCUCAAGCUCUAAGAGAAAUGGCACGACAUGAGCUGUUCUUUCUCCUAAAAACUUCACCUCAAACUUCCUUGCCACCUUGUUGCAACUUUCUAUGAAUUGAUUUAGGGUUUUAGGUUGAUUUCUUUCCAAAGCAAGUUAGAAAUCAAGAUGAAACUUCAAAGUAUUUUUUCUCUUUUCUCUCUUCUCUCUCUCAACCAAGAAGGAAAGAAAGUGAAGAAAAUUUUGCUUCACUAGAUGAUAAGGAUAGAAGAAAUGUCUUGGUCAAAGGUGACCUUGAUUGCCAACAUUUGACAUCCAACCAUUUUCUCUCUCUCUUUUUUUUCCUCUAUCUUUUUUUUUCCUCUAUCUUUUUUUUCCUUAAUUCAGCCAAAACCCUAGAAAUACAAGGGAGAAAUAAAUAAAAGGAAAGUAAGGAAAUUAAUGAAAGAAAGGUCUUGGUCAAGUAGUGUCUUUGACCGGUGACAAGUGGCGCGAGUUGGUUCAAACCUAUCACUUUGUCUCUCUUGUGUUUGUCUCUAAUCUCCACGAUAUCUAGGGUUUCUCCAAUUAACUCUUAACACCUCAUGUCCCAUAAUUUUUUUUUGCACAAAACUCUUUCUAAUUCACCAAAUUUAUUACUCACCUCACUAGUCGGUCACGCUACCUUAAUGUACUACAGAAUUUAGCAUGCACUAAAAUAUAAAAGGGGAAUGAUAUAAAUCUUGAUUCAACCAAUAAAAUCACCAUGAAAUUAAGGCAAGCAAAGUAAAAUAAAAUAAAAUAUAAAUUAAAUUUUUUAAAAAUAAGAAAAAAUAUAAAAUAAUUUUUCGAGUCCUCACUGGAGGAGCAGGGCAAGGCGGGCCGGGGGAUGGCGGGAAUGGGAGCAGGAGGAGUUUUUGGGCAACAAGCGGGGGACAGGGGAGGAGUCUCCUACCCGAAACCCGCCCUGUUGCCAUUUCUAGUCUCGACCUCUCACUUACACCUUUCUCCCCAUACCUUCCAAUCCAUCCUCCUCCCAACCAGUAUCUUAUAUUUAUAAGGAUUCAGUUGUGGUACGCUACCAAUCUUUUUUAAUUUUAAAUUACACAGUCUUAGUAUUAGCAACGACAUUCGAUCACGAUCUUUGUAAAAAAGUAGCAUGCCUUUACUAAUUGAAUAAAUAUGUAUUUGUACAGUUUCAAAUUUUGACUAAUGAUGUUGAACACUACAAAAUAGUUGAUAAUACAACUAUAAUUAGAGUUUGAGUCAAAGUUACGAAUGCGAACGAGUUGAGCUUAAUUGAAUAGUUUGCGAGCAUGGUCAAUCAAAAUUCGAGCAUGAACUUGCGUUGAUCGAAUUCAAGUUUGAGUUCGAGCAACUCGAAUAGCUUGAUGAGCUUGAGGUUAAGCUUAAUAUGUGAAGCUCAAAAGUUCAUCGAGCUUAAUCGAGUUUCAUAGAUAUAUGUUUUUUCUUUAAUUUAUUAGUGUGAAAUGUUUAUCUUGUCUUUUGUUUAAAAUUAUAUAAAAUAUGAAUUUAUAUAAUUUAAAUUUGAUUGAACUCAAUUAAAAUCAAUUGAAUUCGAAUUGAACCUGAUUGUGCUUGAUUUGAUCAAACUCGAGUUCCAGCUUGAGUAAGGCAAAACAAAAUCGAACUCGAAUUCAAACUCAACUUUCAAGAGUUCAACGAGCUUGAGGUCGAUUUGACUCGAUUACACUCCUAAUCAAAUAUAUAUGACCAAAUAUAAAAAUUCCAUGCUUUUUCUUAGCAAUUUUUCAUAUAUAUGUUCUUAUCUAAGUGUAAAAUUUUUCCCAUAAUUUGUAUAAAUUUAGAUGAUGGUGUGGUAAUUUUAGAGAUUUUUAAGUGAACAAAUGCUCUUUUCCUAUUUCAUUUUUUUUUUGGUAAUUUAUCUUUAUCUAGAAGUCACAAAAUGAGAAAACAAAGGUUCUACUUGGAUUGUCCAAUUUUUUAAAAACUACUUUGGGUGGGGCUAAAUCUACACUUCCACAAUCUAAAUCCAAACCCUUAUAACUAAGUUGACCAAAAAAACCCAUAGGAUUAUGGGGUUUGGUAGAAACUUUUUAAAUAAAAAUUAGUCUUUUUGUGAAAAUAGAUGGUACUGAUUUGGAUUUAAAAUUUACAUUAUUGUCAAUGGUCUUAAAAUUUUUAACAUUUUUUCAUUCACUUUAAAAGGGUGGCAAUCAAGUCAGAUUGUGGGUUGGUGUGUUGGAUUGAGAUCCAGGUAUCCUGGAUACACAUCAACCCGAAUAUGAUCCAAAAUUAAAUGAGUCCACUUUCUUGAUACGAACACGACUUGCUAAUUUUGGGAGUUACUCGAAUCUAACCUGAACAACCUAUUUGCUUAACUUUCUUUUUUUUUUUUCUUUUUGGCCUUCUCACGUUAUUAGUAUUGUCAACUUUUCUAUAAAAGAGUUUCCAUAAAAAUAUAAAAUAUUGUAGCCUAAUCAUAGAUUUCGUAUAUGGUGCUUGUAAUAAAUUUUUUAUUUUUCUUUUUGUACAAAAAAAAUCAUAACUAAAAACAAAACUACAACACUUUCAAAAAUAAAUAUCUUUUUUUCACAUAAUAUUCAUGAUUCCUUUUUUGAAAUACUAAUUUGCAGCCUUGGUUAGUUUUCUUUUUAUUUACUUUAUGCCUCUAAUUUUUUAUUAAAUUAUAAACUUACACAUUAAACAAGUCAAACAGGCAAAUGAGUCAACUCGUGUUUGACCUGAUUAGGACUUGUUUGCUUGGUGAGUUAUUUAGAUUUGACUUGAUUUUGACCCAAAAUGGUGAAAAAUAAAUCCAUACACAUUAAUUUCGUAUUAGAUUAGAAUUGUGUUGAGAAUUGCCAACCCUAACUUUGAUGGCAUUUAUUUUUUCCUCUUAUUGGUAGAGAGAAUGUUUUUAUCUUUUUUUUUAUCAUGUAAGAAGAAAUGAGAGAUUUUUUAAAAAUUAUGUUAAGAAAAUAUUUUCACUGUUUUGGCACGUUGCACUUCACAAUUUAUUGAAAUAUAAUUUUUAAAAAGCACUAGUGAAUAUAAUUAAAAUGGUCAUAUUAAACAAUUUCAAUUAAUUAAAAUUUGUAACUAAUUUUUUUACACAUUUCUUGUUGUAUGGAAAAACAAAUUUUUCUAGUACAUGCCCAAACCACAACCUAUAAAAAAAAACUGCAAUUUCCCAUUGCCUAAACAUAAAUGGGCCGAACCCAAAAAGUCUCGAAUAAAAGAAGCUAAAAGCUCAAGCCAUAAACUCUACAUUUGAAUUUACUGCCAAACUGAGAUCCAAACAACAUAGGAAAAGGAAACCACUACUUUCCUAAUACCUAAAGCAUCUAGAGUUUAGUAUUUAAUCACCACUCUCUAUUCAUUGUUCUCUUCACAAAAGAAACUACUAGCAAAAAUUAAGAAAUCAGUGAUCAUAUCAGCGGCUAGGUUCAUUCCUUGGUGCUUGAAGAAUAAGCACAGAAUUUCUUCUUUUCUUCAUCUUUGUCAGAAGUAGUCGUAUUUCUUUGAUCACCUAGUAAUAUAUCCACUACUUAUAUCAAGGGUUCUUUUGCAAACUCUCUGAUUUUACAAUUUUGGUUCUUCUAUUUGGUAAAAUUAGAGAUUUGAACAUCUAUCAUUCAACGGUUUGUUUCUGUUAUUACCAUCCAACAUGGUAGUUGUCAAGAAAGGCAUAGUUGGGAAGAAGAACAAUUCAGCAGAUAGAAAUUGACAUCAAAAAUUAAUGGGAGAAACAACAAAGGAGUAGCCCAAGCGCUAGUAGUUAUAGAUAGUCAUGAAAGGAAUGGGAAAAGGAAGAGAAUAAUGGAUACACUACAAAGGUUGUAACACAACGAGAAUAAGAUUGGUGCAAUUACUUUUAAGCCUAAGUAGCAGCAGCAAAAGGGUAUUCUGAUGAUUUCCAGUGAUCAAAACUAAUGCACAAGUCAAGCUAAUCGUGAUGACGAAUACAUUUUGAAGACAGCUUUAUAUGUUGCAAGGUUAACACCCUACUUUGCCGAAAUUAUUUCCAUAGCAAAAGCUGUGAAAACUAACAUCGAUCAAGGAAGGGAGAGAAACAAGGCAAAGAAGAAGAGGCACCGAGAGCAGCUAAGGAAUUGAAGAAGAAAAAAGCUAAAUUGAGGCAAAAAGAAAGAGAAGUUGCCUUACAAAUGAUGGAAAGCACAAUUGAUUUUGAAGACAAUCUCAUGAUUGCAAGGAACUUGAGCAAUUAAGUCAGUGUUCUCCCUAUUACAUUGUCUAUGGACGCAAUGGACCGGCAAUGAUGGUAUUGAGAGGUUUAAAGAUUGGCAAAGUUUUACACAAUUUAGAACAGCUUGGCUUGCACUUGAAGAAGGAAUUCAUAGCAAUGGAUGAUGAUGAAGAUGCAUAUUUGAGUUGCUCGGAAGUAGAAGAAGGAGAGAUCAUCGAAUACUCAUAUUUUGCAAUGAACUUGAAUUCUUGAUCUCUAGUUGUUCAAAUUGUUAACUUUUGUUCAUAACAUGAUGUAAUGUACUUGAGCUUAAUUUAGUUGCAGCUCUAAUUUCGUGUUUUGUAUUAUUAAUGUAAGAGUUUGUAUUGCUAUUGAAAUCCAAUUCAGUAAAUAUAUGAUUUUACUUAGAGACAUACCUUGAUUUUGUGGUUAAUUUCUAGUUUGAUUUCUUUUUAGAAUACAUAUGCAUAUAUAAACUAUUGUACAAAGUAUUUCUAGGUGAAUUUCAUCAAACUUAUUGUAGUAUUGGAAGAAAAAUGGAAGGUAAACUACUUUUGUUGAAUGAUAUGGACAGGCCUAUCUCCAAACUUUGCUUUUGCUCAUGUUUGUUGUUAUAAAUCCUAUAUAAGGAAAAGAAUAUGAAGUUUUUGAAUUUAAGUUCAACAACAAAUUUCCACACUUCUAGCAGUUAAACUCUGACCCAAACUUGAAUAUCACCAUAAAAUAUGACAUGCGUUGAUGAAGUCAGAACUCGAGUUUAGACUAGAUUUUCAUUGAUGAGUGAAUUCAAUAGAUUUGUGUGUAAUUGAUAGUUCAAUUUUCACUUAAAACCAAAUCGGUAAUUCAAGAUAAAUGCAUUUUCUUAUUUCGUGAAAGAACGAUAGAAAACAAAAGAUUGUAGCUAUGGAUAAAAGAUAGGUAUAUCUGGUGUAUUUCAAAUUCCUGAGAAUAAUGAAACACCUAAGAGUCAUCUUGAAAUCAUGUACUAAUUGCUGCCAUCACAAGCUGCCAAUCAGCUGUAAAGUGUUUUGCUAUACAUGACCUAAAGUGUUCGAUUAAACUACCAAGAACAAAUAUGGAAUGAAACCUUAGUAAUAUGCCAUAUCAAUCAACCCACAAGAUGUGUUAGCAAUACCUAGGUGAGCAAGGGAUGGAGAAGAAGCAUUUUAGACAUGCAUGUGAUAUGAUCAUCCUUUAUCCCUUUGACAGUUAUUAAAAAAUGAAUAUUGGAAAUUAGAAGAAGAGGACUACUCAUAGCCGCAAAAGUUGCCAAGAAGCAACUUCUUCUAGUUCAAUUUAUAUUGGUAGAGUUUAGGCAUUACCAGUUUGACUAUUACCUGUACAAAUGUCGUGUUGAAUGCCGAGUGACCCCUUUUUGCUAAUUCCUUUUUGGUGUAGACUACAAAAGCUACCCCUUUCUACUACAUAGGUAAUGCUUGUAAAGUAUGCUGGAUCGACUCAUUGCACACUUGCACCUAGCACUAUGACAAAUGCAAGUUCCCCUUUUGUGUUUUGUUAAUUAGAGUAAACUUCAUCAGAUGGUGGUAAAGUAACCAUGCUAGUUGGGGUGAAAAGAACUCAUGAAUUUUGUAUCCAUUUGUAUGCCAAACUAGCAUACUUUUUGAAUAGUCUGUAUUACAUGGUGCAAUUUGUUUUAGUACAUAGAGAACCAAAUCCAUUUUAACUUCUUGAUUCGGAAAAUAAAAAGGGUUUGCUUUUAUACUCUAAUUAUAGACUAGAGCAGUUAGAACAAUCUAGUUGUUUGAACUUUUUGUACUGCUUCUGAUCAUCAAGGUAAUUUCAGGACCAGGAAUUCUCCCAAAUACCUCUGCAGCAACGUCUAGUAUAUUAUAGUGGCUCAGCACCCAUAUCCAGAACACAAGCAUUAUAUCCAAUCUCUUUUGCAUUAGUUAUCCAUUUAUCCCGUACCAUGGUUAUCAUAAUUUUUGGAAGUCAAAUUGAUAGCAAUUCUCAAAUCCUCUCACAUUCACCCAACCAGAAGAUGAGAAUACUUAGUUGGCAGACCAAAGAUUGCCUUCACAACUAAAGCUGGAGAGGUAUUUUCAGCCAUAUCAGCAACUAGAGAUGUAUGUUAAGGUACCAAUCGUAGCAGCUUAAUAUAAACUUUUGAGUGACAGUCAGCUUUAUCAUUGUAAAGGUGUGGAUCAGGCAAUGAUAUAUUCACAUGUCACGAGAAAAAGCCAUGCAAUUUAUUCAAGCAUUAGACAUUUAGCAGAGUUUAAUGCCACUGCACUUGCAAAGUCUUCCUAUUUCACCACAUUGUCCUAGAGGUACCCAAAUGAUUUUCAUAUCGAAUAUUGUUUCUUGAUCUAGUAAACAACAACUUUGUUGAGUGUUUUCUCCCAUUACAGCACCAUAGGCUGCCCAUCACUUGAAAGAAUAUGGAUAAUGUGGAUUUGAAUAAAAGAUGCAAAUCUAUUAUCUAUUAGACAAGAAAAUCAUUGAAACUGAAUGAAAGUGAGUGGAACAGAACAUAAAUAAGCCUAGCUAUAUGUCCUCAUAUGUGCAAAACAAAUAAACAAGUGAUCGAUCCUAUGCAAAAAAACACCAUUUUCUGCUACCCAAGUGGAGUUUGAGCUUGUCAUCUCACUAGAAGAUUGAGUUAUGGAUGGUUCAAUUCUCUCUGAGCUUUGUAAACCUGAAGCUUCUGGACCAACAUUUUCAGAAGAUAGGUCUCGUUGAUGAGAAAUUUCAGGCAAGCCCUCCUAAUUUGUUUCAGAUUGGUAGCAGUCUUCAGCAAGUGGCCCUCUGGUAUUGUUUGCUAGUUGGAGUUUUUUCUUGCUUUUUUUCAAUUGAGUAUGAUAAUAAUUUUGUAUUUGAUUAUCAUAUCUUCUUGGUAAUUUUGCUGCAAUGGCUGACCAUCUGUGUGGGUAGCGCAAAAAUUCAAAUGCAUAUAUAAGAACUGAGCCGCAAUGUAAAUUUAUGCUGCAUGAAGUUUUGUUUCAAGUACAAUCAUGUGCCCUCUAGUAAGUAAUACGAGCUUGCAUGAAGGAAUUUGCUGCACUAGCGAUUUACACACACAUUCAAAGAUUGUAUGCUAGUUUCUCAAAAAUGAUUCAUUUGAAUAUAUUUGUGUGUGUUUGAUGGUUCAAUUUUCACUUAACCCAAAUAAUCUGUCAAAGAUGGAGUUGUUUUCUUGUUUUGUGAAAGAGCAGGAGAAUAAGAAAAACUACAAAGCAGUAUCAGAAAGAGCAGGAGAAUAAGAAAAACUACAAAGCAGUAUCACGAUGCAAGAGCAAUUGGUGAGCCAUGCUACACAAACACAAUUGUGCAAUACAUAUGCGAGUACUAAGAAUAUUAAGAAUUAGCGUCAAUUUCGCCAGGUUAUUUGAUGUCAAGAAAGUUAUUACGAAAGAUUGUCCAGGCAAUGAGAAAAAGAUAGGUUAUUUGGUGUAUAUCAGACUUUUAAACUCAAUUACGGAUUACUAGAAUCAUGAGAUGACAAUCAGCUCUGAAGAAUUCUACUAUUAUGCAUGGCUGAACAUUUUGUAUUAAAUUGCCUAAGAACAACCAUUGAAUGUGGAGGCACAUGAAUAUGCAUCAUAGGUUUGAUUGUAAAGUAAUUCGAGUAAAAUACCAGAUGACUUGGAAGUGUAUUUGAUUUACAUAAGAGGUUCAAACAAUAACCUGUCCACAAAAUACUGUGACAAAAUCAGUUAACGCUAUUGGCUUUUUCGAGUUUGGAGGGAAUAAUUUAGCAUUAACAUCAUGAAAGUAACCAAAAUGGACAUCUCCUUUAUUUCUAUACUCUCGGUAAGCUUGUUCUCAAGAUCUUGUGGCAUUUCAUUUGUUGCACUAAAUCCUUGAAACAAUAUUGUUGCAUCAGCAUGAUUCAAGUUGCCUUGGUUAUGGAUUACCCAGGUUUCCAUACAUAUUCAAUUCGAAUUUGGUUCCUUUUUUGCAAUUGAUGCCAAGCAUUGGUCAACAUGAUACAUCCUCAAUUUGCAGUCGCAAAUUCCAAAUUGCAAAAUAUCUAUAUAUAUAAUAAAAUAAAGGGAAGGGGUAUCCUAUGCUCUCUACUAGUACAUGUCUCUCUAUUUAUCUUUUUUUUUUUGAAAUAGUCAAGAAAAUUUGAAGUCUAAUGGAAAAAACUUCUGACAAUUUGAUGACUGUGUUGGUUUCCUCAUAAUGCUUGUAGAGGCACAAAAGGAAAAGGGAAGUUUUAUUAAUGGUUGAGGAAUGCCUUUCACAGUCCGACAAUAUUGUAAUUUGAAUGUAGGAGGGGUUUGUGGACGGGGGGUGCAAAAUAACCAAGCUACUCGAGCUCGAUUGAGGAGUUUAGUUAAUAGUAGAGUUCAGAGCAUUGGAUUCAUAUACUCAAAAGCUUGAUGAGUUUAUUGAAGUAGUUACAUUUAAAUUAUAAGUAUUACUAAAUUACUCUUUUAACUAUGUUAUUUGUGAAAUUUACUAAAAAAAAUCUCAACUUGAAACAUAGCAAUACAAGCAGAGAAUGAACUGAAAUCGAAUUCAAGUACUAUUCUAACCUCAUCGAGUUGAGCUCGAGCUUCCACUCUCAUGUUUCUUCGAGUUCGGCCACACUUUUCUGGUCAUUGAGUUCAAACUUGAAUGUAGUGAUAUUCGAUCUCAACUUAACUUUAAUACAUCCUCUAGGGGGAAGAGUGGAAUUUCCAUAGACAUAAACCAAGAAAAAAUUAGCAAAUUAGCAACAGAAAAUGCAAAUCUAAAACCUACUUUCAAGUGGGCUUCCAGGAGAGGGACCAAAAAUCCCACCCUAUAAAAUUCUACAUAACUAAAAAUGGAAGAAUAGUCAAUUUCAAGUUCCACUAUUAAUAGCAGAUUUUCACCACUUACCACCUGGUUCGGAUGGUCACCGAAAUUAGGAAUAUGUUUACUUACCAAAAUGUCUUUCAUGUUCCUAGCCCGAUAUGCCCUGAUCAAACUUAUUAGGAAGUAUCGGUCACAUUGAAGGAAAGAAACAUCAAAACACCAAAAUAUGGUUAUUAUAUUUACGUGUAUCAAAAAGUAAAAAUCAAUCCCUUUUUUGGGUAAACAAUCUAUUCCAACAUUAAACUUUUGAAUUGAGACAAAAACAUAGAGCUUUGGGUAUGUUAUAUUUGUGAAUUAAUUCGUAUAAGUAUAUUAUGGAAACCAAUUGGGAGAGACUAAAAUUCACAUCCCAUAUAAUCAUUGAACAAGAAUACCCUUAACUUUUAAGUUUAUUUGAUUCUUUAAGUGUUUCAAGAAACAUAUAUUUAUCGAGCAAAAAGUGAAAAAAAAAAUUUACAUCACAAAAGAGAAUAUUUUCAGACAUUUUACAAGUGCAUGUGAAUAUUAUUUUUAAUUUAAAAUUUCAUUUAGCAAUCUAGAUUUUUCAAUUAUGAACAAACAUGUAAAAGCACCACAUAUAUAUUUCAAUUCCAUAAAAUCAAAAUCUAAGCGAUUUUCAAGAUAGAAUAUACAAACAUAUUGACAUCUCCAUAUUCAUAUCCUCCACUUGAUUAUCUAUAAAUUAGUGUUAAAAGAAGUUCAACAAAAAAAAAAAGUAGUAGUUCAUAUAAGGAAAGAGGGAAAAAAUAAAGCAGCUUUAGAGAAGCACAAAUUCUGGAAUAAAAUAAAUAGUGGAAGGAAUUUCUAUAUAGAACUAAACAUAAAGAUUAACAUAUGGAUUUUUUUUCUUUAGAAAAGAUAUCGUUGUUCCCUAUUGUCAUAAUGUAAAAAGAUAACCUAAAUACCAUAAAAUGUUUUGUUUUAAUGUAUAAAACCUUAAGGCAUUAACGUCCAAUAAAAGUAUGGGUCUGUCUAUAGGGUGUUUAUUGAACACUCAUUAAGAUAUAUUUCAGGUGUCAUAUUUUUUAAAAUAUAAAAUUAAUUAGAGAAAGUAAAUAAAUACAAGGAAAGGUAGAUAAGAUUAAACAGGAAAAGUAUAUAAAAGUAAGGAAAUGCAAUAAUUAUUAUAUAUAUAUAUAUAUAUAUAUACACAUGAUAAGUUAGGUGUGUUAACAAGUGUCUAAUUGGCAUCCAUUAGAAAAACCCUAAAAGCAUAUGGUGUGGAUUUAGCUCCUCCCAACUACUUUUUAUUUUUGAAAUUUACAGUAACAAACUCUAAAACAUUUCCAAAAACACAAAUAAGUAAAUAAAUAAUCUAUUAUCUCUUCUUUCUCCCACCCACUACCCACCACUACCAUAUCUCCUUCUCUACCGCCAUCACUGCCCCUUCCCUUCCCUCCUCCUCUCUCCUCUCUCUCCUUUCUCUUUCCUCCUCCUUCCCUUCUUCCUUCAUCCUCUCAUCCCCUAUCCUGCCCUUCCCUGGCAAGCCCUCCUCCCCUUCCUCCCUAUCUAAUUGGGAUCAUGACCACGACCAAAGGAAAAAAGAGAGGAAGGUGUUGCCUGGCAGCCCCCUCCCUUCUCUCUCCCUUUGGUUGCAACCAUGAUUAGAGGAGAGGUUGCUGAAGAAGAGGAAGAGAAGAGAUGAGAGAGGGGAGGAAGGAGAGCAAAGAAAGAAAGGGAGGAAAAGGGAAGAGAGAGGAGGUUGGAGAAGAAGGGGCAAUGGAGGAGGGGAGAUGGCAGCAUUGGAGAGUGGAGGUGGUUGAAAAAUUUUAAUAAUUAUUAAUGCAAGGAAAGGUAAUAAUUGUUAGUAUAUAUAUAUAUAUAUAUAUACAUGAUAGGUUAAGUGUGUUAACAAAUGUCUAAUGGGCACCCAUUAGAAAAAUCCUAAAAGUAUAUGGUGUUAAUUUAGCUCCUCCCAACUACUUUUUAUUUUUGAAAUCUACUGUAACAAAUUCUAAAAAUAUUUUCAAAAACACAAAUAAGUAAAUAAAUAAUCUACUAUCUUUUCCUUUUCCCACCUACUACCCACCACCACCACCUCUCCUUUUCUACCGCCACCACUGCCCCUCCCCCUUCUUCCUCCCUUCUCUCUUCUCUUUCCCUCCUCUUUUUCCUCUUUCCUCCUUCUUCCUCUCCUUCCUCUCUCUUCUCUCUCCCUCCUUUUUCUUCGUCCUCCUUUCCCUUCUUCCUCCCACCUCUUCUCCCCUACCUUCCCCUUUCUUGGCAACCUCUCCUCUCCUACCUUCCUAUCUAAUUGGGGUCGCAACCAUGACCAGAGAAAGAGAGAGGGGAGGGGGUUGCCUGGUGGCCCCUCUCCCCUCUCUCUCCCUUUGGUUGCAACUACAACCAAAGGAGGUUGUUGAGGAAGUGGAAGAGAAGAGAAAAGGGAGAGGAGGUUGGAGAAGGAAGGGCGGUGGAGGAGGCGAGGUGGCGGCAGUGGUAGGUGAAGGUGGUAAAAACAUUUUAACAAAUUUAAAAAAUUCAUCCAAUAAAAUUUUAAAUUUUAAAAACAUCUCAAAAUCAUCCUAAGAGCACCUAAUCCAGACUAACCAUCUACAGUUGAAAGUUUUCAAAUACAAUGUUAUAAUAAAUUUUUUAAAUAUACCCCUAAAAAUACCUAAUUCAUAAGGACCCAAAGUUUUAUAGGAUUUUUUGCCAUUGACAAAUGUUCUAAAUUAACUCCCACUAUUUCCCAUAAUUUUCAUUUUUUUCAAUUUUUUUUUAAAUUUUUGGUUUUUAAGCAAAAUACCAUCAUGGCAAAUUCCAUGACCUUUUAGUAACUAUCAUCUUCUAAUAUAUAACCUCCAGAACGUCUUAUGUCUCUUUAAGUUCCCUUUUUUGUCAUCUUUUAUGAUAAAUUAAUUUUUUUUGUGGAAAUUGCACGAAUGAAUUUAAGAGCAAUGUAGCAAACUUACUAAUCAAACCGUAUAAUCCUACCAAUACUGCAUAUGGAUAGUCUAGCCCAACAAAUUACUCAUGUCCUUCAUCGAAUUACCUGCAAGUAACCUUUAGCCGGUAUUUAAUCCUAUUGAAUAUGCCGUCAAUUACACAAUCAUGUUUUGAAAAAAUCUAUAUAAUCCUUUUAGCGUAUCAUUCCCUUUAAUCCUAUUGAAAAUGCCAUCAAUUACACAAUCAUGUAUUGAAAAAAUCUAUAAUCCUUUUAGCGUAUCAUUCCCUUUAACAAGUAUCUCUUAAUGAUGAUAGUAGUUUGAAUUUUAAAGUUUUAAAAUUGUAACGUUACUAUAUAAGGAUCAAAAGACACUUAUUUCACCAUCAAGGAUGUAUUUUAUUUGAACAAAUGAUACCCAAAAAAAGCACUUUAGAAUCUUCCUCAAAUUUUACUAUACCUACAAGUAUAGCUGUUAAUCUUGAGCCAUAUGCAUUGAGUCAUCCAAGUCGACCCGUGAAUAAAUGGUUUUGGAUAACCUAUUAUUUCCAAGUUGAAUCUAAUUGGGUAACCCAAUUAGACCCAUUUAAAAAAAGAGUAUAUGGCAACACCCAAAAACUUUUUUUGUUGUCACUAAAAUUCAAGAACCUUUCUAUGCCAUUACUUUUAUCCAUAGUUAUUAAACUUGGUCCAACUCAGUAGUCGAAUCAUUCAACCCGGUGAACCGGUUAUUGGACCGGGAUGGGCUUCUAAUUGAACAGUUUAAGCAUAGAACCUGUUGAUUGGCUAAUGAUCUGACAGUUCAAUCGGAUUAAGCCGUGAACCUGGCCGAUUUUGUCAACGAAGUGGGAUUGUGAAAAAAAUUUUAAUAAGCUCUUGUUAAAAUUCAAACUUGAGACCUUAGGCAUAUAACUAUAGUAUACUCAUCACCAGACUACUUGUUAUAUGUUAGUAAAGUAGCUUUCUUAUAAUAUAUGAACGUUUUGUCAAUUCUAUCCUUUUUUUAUUUCUCUAAAACAAAUUUUUUUUUUUGGAAAAUGGAUUUAAAAAAAUAACGUAUUACAUAAUUCAUUUUAAAGACAAAUAUUAUUUUUAAUAAUUUUUUGACCUUAAAAAUUUGUAAAUAAACUAGAUAAUUACAUUAAAUACGGAUAAAAUUUUACACUUGAAAUUUUGUGGAUUACUAAUAAAUUUAUGUUUUAUUAAUUCUUAUAUGAAUUACUUAUUCUACAACGAAUUAAAUUAAAUGAGCAUUUACUGUGACAUUGUUUAUUACAAUUUAUAUCAUAUGUUUUAUAUAAAAAAUAUAAUAUUUAAAUAUAUUGGAUGGUACAAGUUCAACUAGUACCACUCACCCACUGGUUGAACUAAUGACCCGUUGAUCCACCUCCUUCAUCGAGUUACUUCUUGAGCCGGAUUUAAUAACUGUGCUUUUAUUAGUUAAAGGUCCUCUGUGCCAUUAUUUAUAUCAGUAAAAAGUGAUGAGAUAAUCUAACUAAAAAAGUUAGAAGAGUUAAUAAAUGGAUAAUUGGGCAACUUACACCCAUAUGACACCCAACCCAUUUGAACGCAUUUACUUAAUAGAUAUAAUAAGGUUAAUCCAUUUAUACCUAACACCCAAUUCAUCUAUUUUGACAGCUACACCUACAAGUAUCAAUUUUUAUUGAUUUUGCUUCCAAAAAUGGCUUGUUCCCUUAGUUGGAGGAUUAACGAGGCAAUGCAUGACUAUUGUAUGCCGAUGAUAAAUUAAAAAAAAAAAAGUCCUACUGAUACUCGAUGGUAUUGUUAAUUUGCUCCUCAAUGUACACAAAUUUAUUGCCCCUAUGGAUCACAUACGGUCACGUUUAUUACCCUGUGUAUAUCGAUAUAUCCAUGAUUUAACUUUACCAAAAAUCUUAACACGUAAAGCUCCUCUUAUCAAGUACCCGUUUGGCAACCCGUAAAACAAAAAAUUGUAAUUCCGUCCAUGGAAAAUAUUCGAAGUAAAAUUUCAAAGGAUGGGCACAUUAUGUAAAAAAGAGAGACAGGGCAUUGCCGUCUCCAUAAGGUGCAAAUUUAACAACAGCCACAAGACAGUAUUAAAACAAGCUUAAAUACCCACGCACAGGGAUUAGGAAGAAAGUACAUAUAUGCAAAGCCAUGGGCUGGUGUCCUGAAGGUCUACCCCGCAGUAAGGGAAUUUUGGAGUCCAAAAUGCUCCUGGCCGCAGAGCACCAAACAGAAACAAUUUGCAAAGAACAGAAAAGGCUAGAGCCCUUUCAAUCGAAAUUUCCUGCAGCUGCUCCAGUGGAUGGACUAGCAUCACAUGCAUGAUAGAUGCAGCUAAUAGGGACCUACAAAGCACCAAAUAGCAACCACAAGUGAAGCUGCUUGGCUGAUAGCGUACAAAAGGAUGAUUCCUUCUACACUUUGCAAACAAGUGCAUAAAGAGAAUAAUCUACCAAGAAACUAAAAUAGUGGCCAUGACAAAAAUGUGCACGAGGUUAUAAAAUGAAGAGUCCAAAAUAUAGCUAUUCUUACCAUCUAUUAACAGAGCCCAAGGAAAGCUGCAUAGUCAGAAUCCAUGUCCCAGAGAGUGAAGUCCUCAAAAUCAUCAAAAUAAUAAUCAUAGUCAGAAACAUCAAAGUCAGAAAUCCCAGAGGAGUAGACAUCAAAUGAAUCAGAGUAAUGAAGUCCUUCACAGUCAUCAAGUUCUUCAUCAAACUCAUAAUCUGCCGUGGAGUCAUUAGGGAGCCUCAGAUGUGUAAUUUCUUGAGAGCAUCGUUUUCCUAGAUCACCAUCCAGGUUAACAUAAUAACAUUUCCGAAGAUCUAGUGAUUCCAGUUUUGCACAGUUAUCAAGAAUAGCUUUCAAGCCUUCAUUUGUCAUCUUAUUUCCCAAGAGAUGAAGGUGGUGUAAUCCUGGCAUGGUUUUUGCAAUAGCAGCUGCCUCCUUAUCACAUUCUUGAUGUGGCAGUUCAUUGCUUCUCGUGUUUAUUGUAAAUGACUUUAACAAAGGGCAAGAGCAGCCAACUAUUUCAAGGGCUUCACUGGGCAUGGAGAUAAAGAAAAGGUGCAGCUCCUCCAACAAAGGUAAUCUUUUAACAGCUUCUGUCAAACCUUCACCACUUAUACUAUCACAAAAGGCAAGCCGAAGGCGCUUAAGCUUGCCUGACCUGUAUAAAAGUUGCAAAGACAAAACAAAGGCAAGACAUUAAACUGGUUCCAUUUACAAAUUUGCAUAGGACAACAUUCAUGGUAAGCAAACUUUUACAUGGUUCAGGGCUUGGUGGCAAGCAAGGCCCUAAGAAAUAUAUUAAUGGGCAUAGGAAAUUGAUAAUUAUAUUGUGAUUCUUCAGUUAAAACCUGACAUAAUCCAAAACAACAUAAGGCCGCAUGUGCAAUCUCGUAUUAUGCCGGAUAAAAGAAAAUAAGGUUACUAUAAAUGGGGAAAAUGCAAAAAGUUGUAUAAAGAAUUUAGACAAGAAAAAAAAGAAAAGAACGGUACUACCAAAAGAAUAUAAUCUGUAAAGCUAACUAUAACAUGACAAGAAAUUUACAUUGCAGCUUGAAAUUGCAAAUAGGCCAUGCAGGGAAAAAAAUAAAAAAGAAAAAGGACAUUGUAGAUAUACUUUGACAACUAGAGAAAUCAAUUGCAAUUACUUAUACCUGAUCAUGAUUGUUGAUUCCUCAAAGGACAACCUAUACAGAGGUUAAUUAGACUACCUUAUUCAUAAUUACAGAAACCACCUGUUCGUUUUUUGAAAAUAAAGUAACUCACCUUAAAGUUUAGUAUCAUAGAUUAGCAUGAAGUCUUCUUGGAAUCUAAAUAACCCAUAUGAGAAAUAUUUUGGAGCAAAUCAGUGGGGAAGCAGAGGUCCUUUUCUUCUUCUUCAUUUUUAAUUUUUUUAAAGCUAGGAGAUGUAGUCAUAUCCUGAAAAGAAUUACUUCAUCUAAAUUAUAAAACAUAGGCAGACAGCGGAUGUAACUCUGUUUUGGAGAGGCACAAAAGUAUAAUUCCAAAGAUGCCAAACCUCAUAAAGUGAUUUACAGGCGAACCUUUAUAAAAUGGUUUGUUCUUCCUGGAUGACAACCAACACUACAGACAAUUGGGUUCACUUCUCCAUCCAAGGAUAUGCAAGGUUAAUCUAAAUCAACCACCAAAUCAAGACAUUGAACAGGUAUGGGAUAAACUUUCUGAGAACGCCAGCAACAAAUGCUGUCUACCAUUGAAGAAUUAAGUCACAACUCUUUGGCUCCUAUACAUGACACAGGGGGAAAUCAAAGAAUUAUGCCUGUGAAAGUCAGAACAGCUUUUGCCCAUAGACAGGGAUACUCAUUAUGUUCCACAAUCUCACCAAACAAGAUUUACCACCAACAGUGCAAUAAUAUAACCAAUCAUCAUCAAAAUCACCAUAGAGUCAACUGUAUAACUGUCAAUAAACUAGGCAUACUGACCAUAACCUACAAGACUAACAGAAACAAAAUCAAGGCAAAAGCUCAAGGUUUUAAGCCUCAUCAACAAAGUAGAGAGAGAACGGUCAGCAAGGAGAGAUUUCAUCUCGGCAUCCAAGUACCAGGAAACAGUAUUAAUCUCAAGAACACACUACAAACGUGUAGGGGAAAAAAUGAAAAGAAAAUGCAACCAUUCCAUUUUGAAGAUGUGUUAAAAAGAACUAAUCCAAUUGCAAUUUAAAUUAAAAGGACAAAACAAUAUUAAAGAAAAUAACGGCUCUGUUUGGGACCCCUGUUUUUAGGGUGUUUUCAAUAGACAAGCUUUUUUACAGCUUUGUCUACAGGAACCCUCUAAAAACACCCCAACUUUUUAAAAUACACACAUCGAAAUAUCCCAAAACACACAGUUUUUUCUUUCUAUCCUUUUCUUCUUCUUCCUCCUCUAAUGCUGGCACCACUAUUUGAAGUAACUUUGCUAACAAAGGGACAAAGGGACUAGCACUAAGCAUCAACAACAAGAUUCAGAAUGACAGCUCAUGACUCCAAGAGUGCUUCAUAUAUCAUAGAACAUAGACAACAUCUCAAUCCAGGUCAUGCACAAUACAAAGUACGCACUGCUAAUGGACCACAAAACAAGCCCAUUGCUCCAUUUCACCUCAUACUCCCGAAGUUAUGGUACCAUUUUUAAAUGCUUAUCAAUUGAUUAGUGCAAUGAUACACAAAAAUUGCGCACACUCAAUGAAUCACAAUUACCAUGGGACAGAAAAAACAAAAUGCUGAUGUGGUACAUUAUCACUGGCCAGUGUACCACAAAGAAUCCUCCUCAAUUACUCAAAGGGAAACUUUUCAAAAAUUCUGUGCCUCAAAACUUAAUUUGCAAAGAAGCCGCAAUUUUAAACUUUGCAGCACAAUUUACAUUCAAGCAUAUAUUUCUGUAGAAAUAUAUUGCUACAAAGUAAUUUACAUUUUAUACAAAAUUCAGCAUCAAUGCACUUCAUAAUAAAUGGACCCAAAUUACACCUUCUUUACAAAUUAAGAUAUGGAGCACCAUUUUCACCAAUUUUUCCCUAGAAUGAUUACCUUUAUCCUUACUCUAACCUCCCUAAAUAUUCAAAAAUAACCCUAAUUUGCAUAAAGCUAAUUAAGUUAAACUAAACCAAAGUGCAACAAACUCAUAAUCCUGCACAUAAAUUCAGAUACAAAUCUAAAUACAAAUGAAAAUUCAAGUUUCAUCAACAAAUCUACCUUUCAGCAAUAUACUCAAGCAAUUCAUCAGUACCAAUAGACCCAAUGCUGAUAUCAACCAACUGGCCCUGGCUCCGAUCCACAGCGUGCUGGACCAUGAUUUCCAUAUCGUAAGGCUCAUCCUCGUAAUCCGCACAAUCAUACAUGUCAAUCACUCGCCACAUGGCAGGAUCAAGGCAAACACUGCGCCAGGUCGUACACACUUUCUGUGCACUCUCCAGUAUAUCGACUACCGACAGUCUCUGCAAUAUGUUGGCCGUUAUGUCCCGUGGCAGCUCUGUCCACGGCGGCGGGGGAGGCCGGGCCGAUACUGAAGUGGAUGCUGAUGAACCUUUUCUUCGCCAUACUUGUUUGAUUUUGAGAUUUUUCUUUCUUCCUAUCAUGUUUAGGGUUUCAGUGUCCCGAGUAGAAAUUCAGGAAAUGGUUGGAAACUUUUCGCAUUGACGGAUGGAGUCAGGGUCUUCUGGUUUUGGAACUGUAGGAGUGUGAAGUAGCAUUGCUAAACUAAAGCACUGUUUGUUUGACGGGGGAAGACGCGCAAGAAAGUUCGUCCUGGAAAAAGUAAAAUGAAAUGAAAUAAAAUAAAGAAAAAGGAAAUUAAUUUUUUUACGUGUGUUUGGUUAAUAAGAAAAUGAUGCAAGAAAAUAUAAAUUCUUGUGUUUGUUUAGUUAGAAAGUCACAAAAAAAUUGGCUAGCAUAUUCUUUUUUGUUUGUUUUUUUUGUCAAUACGUCAAAGUUACACACAAAUUAGAUUAAAAUUGGUUAAAACACUUCAAGGGUUGAACCUAAAGGGGACCUAUAAAAAACAUUCAUCCAAUUAAUUGGUGACAGGAAGGUGCUCCUAUGGACCUUAAGUCUAAGGGCACUACCUCACACACUCUCGAUAUGGGAUGAAACCAUCCUACCGUCUCAGCCGGCCUCACGCACACAUGGUGACUUUUUUUUGUCAAUACGUCAAAGUUACAUACAAGUUAGAUUAAAGUUGGCUAAAACACAAUAUACAAAAAAUGGAAAUCUUCAUUUUUUGUGUUUAUAAUUAAUAUAUGUAAAAACAUGUAAUAAUUAUAACAUUUUGCAUAUUGGAAGAGUUGUUUACCUGAAAAUUAAUCACAUUCUUUAAUAAUAAGUUCACACACACACAUAUAUAAUAUUAAGGGAAAAUCAUUCAAAACAUCCCUCACAUUUUGUAAAAUAACUUUUUUCGUCCCUUACUUUUAAAAGUAUAAUUUUACGUCUCUUACAAAUUUACAUUGAUCAAAUUUGGUCCCUACCUAGGUUUCCAACUAGUUUUUAGUCGGAAUCCAUCACGUGUCUUGCACGUGAUUAUUUUUUAGGGGUAAAUUUGUCAAAUCAAAUUUUAUAAUCUAAUCCAUAAUCCCUUACAUUUCGCAAAAUGAAUUUUUUCGUCCCUCACAUUGUACAAAAUUAAUUUUUUAUUCCUCAUAUUUUAUAAAAUGAAAAUUUUUUAUCCCUCAUUGACUAUGUGUAUGAAUAGUUUUUUUUUUUUAAUUCGUGUAUAUAUCUAAUUAAUUUCACUUGAAUAAUACGAAUAACAUGUAAUAUAUCUCUAUUUGAUUUAUAUACAUGCUAUUCAAUAAAUAUAUACAUGAGUUUAAAACUAAUAAUUUUAUUUUAAACCCAUGAAUAUAUUUAUUUGAUUUCACCAUAUGAAUUUGUUCAAUAUUUGUGGCCUUUUCUCUUUUAGUAAUAAUGUAUUUAUUGAGUUGUAUAAUAAGGCCAUCCAAUUAAUGGGUCCUAAUUCGAAUUCUAUAGUCAUGCUAAUGAAUUGCAAUUUAAAUUUGAAAUUUCUACUCGCCACCUUUAAGACCGACAAUUGAAUUACUUACUUUGUAAUUGUUUUAAAAUUUGAAAGUGCCAAUCACUUACUUCUUUUUAUCAUACUUUUUCUUUGAUUAUUUUUUUAUCCAAUUUUAAUUCGAUAUAAAUACUUGACAAUGUCGAAAUUAUUUGAUUUCAUCUAAAUAGGCUAAUGGUAGUCAUACACGUGCUAUUUGUAUUGUUCAAGUGAAAUUAAAUAGAUACAUAUAUAGAUUUUGAAAAAAACUAUUCAUACACAUGAUCAAUGAGGGAUGAAAAAAUUCAUUUUGUAAAAUGUGAGGGAAGAAAAAAUUUAUUUUGUGAAAUAUGAGGGACUAUGGAUCGAAUUGUAUAAAAUUAAUUUGAUAAUUUUACCUUUAAAAAAUGAUCACAUGCAAGGUACGUGAUGGAUUCGAACAAAAAACUAGUUGGAAACCUAAGUGGGUAUCAAAUUUGACCAAUAUGAAUUUGUAAGAGACGUAAAAUUACACUUUUAUAAGUAAGGGACGAAAAAAGUCAUUUUACAAAAUGUGAGGAACGUUUUAAACGAUUUUCCCUAAUACUAAUGUCAUAUAAAUGUAAAAGAAAAAAAUACUAACAUCAUAUAAAUUCAAUAAAUUACUAAUUCAUUAAUUGUCAAAAUAAAAUAAGAAUAAAAUGCGUAACUCAAGUUGGUUGUUUGAAUUGUAAAUUCUAAGAUAUUCUAAUUUAUGUAGAAGCUUAGAAUGGAGGAAGUAGUUUAGACAAAAGGAGUUGUAAAAGAAAUCUAUUUAGUUGAAAAAAUUUAGAUAAGAAAAUGCGCAGUUAUGGAAAAAAUUUAUGUGAUGGGUCCUAUAAGUUUCUUGACAAACAAACAUUCAAAACUUGCAGCAAAAGUUAUUUUCAUCACUUUCCUUCCUUUUUUCUGGCAAACAAACACUGUCUAAGCAAAUCACUAACACUAAAUUCUAAGUGAAUAAAUAUACCUAUGAUUAACUCUUUAUCUUUAUCACUUAAUUUACUUAAUUGUAUUUUAAUGACACGAAUAAAUUAACUAAGAAAAAAAAAAGAAGAAACAUAAAUUUAAUCUAAAUUCUUAUUACUCAUCUAAUACAAUUUCUUUCUAAUUUACAUCUCAUUUCAUUCUAAAACCUUUAAUGUUACUGUUCGAAAUUUAGGAGAAUAUAAUGGCUCAAAAUCAAAAUACUAGAGAUCAAAGGUGCAAAUUCAUUCUCAUAUUUCCAUUUGUUGCUUUAAAGAUGCCUAAAAUUAAAAACUUUAAGGACUAGAUUUACUUAAGACGAACAUUAAGAACCAAUAUAGCACACCAGUCAAAUAUUGAGGACCAAAACUAUAAUUCUAUCUUUCUAAUAUACUGUAUCAAUUUAUUUUCAAAUUAAUAUAUAUGUACCAUGUUUAAUGUACUUACAGCCAUUAGUGCAUAUAUGCACAUAUUGGUACGUAAAGUAUCCUUUUUACCCCAAAAAAAGACCAUCUCUAUCCAAACCCUCCUCUUUAAUCAUAUCUUAGAUCUCAGCGUAUAGAAUCCUUGCAAUCCUACGAGAACUGGAUUCUUCUUUAGCUUAGCUACCAAAAUCAGUCAUUCUCCCUCCUAGCUUUCAACCAUAAAUACUAGACAGUAGAUCUUCAAAAAGGAUAAUGUUUAUAUUUCGUGCAUCCCAGAAAAUUAUGUCAAAAGCUGCUAGAAUAACAAAAAAUAAUUUACGUCAAGAAAAAUUGUCAUGACCAUACAUGGACCAGAAAACGCUUAUGCAUAGGUUAAAGAUGCUAACACAUAUCAAGAUAAUCAUGCAAGACAAUCAAAUCAGACCAGCAAUUAUUGUAAGACCACAAAAUUUUUUAGGGCUUGAUCUGAGCUAAUUGCUAAUAACUCUACUUCAAUGAAUUGCCACUCUAAGGUUCAAGAUCAUGUAACAAGAGGACCCUUAUAGCAUAAAAAAAGCGUGGCAUCUUGUGCAGGCCAUAACUAAUUUCUUGGAAUCAAACUUUGCUAAAUAUGAUACUACUGCUUGCUGUGAAAUACUGCUCCUAUUGAUGCGAAGUCAUUUUUGGAAUUGAAGUGGAUAUGCAUCUUUAUUGUUUUGCUUUUGGAGGUUGAAGUGGAUAUGAUUUCAGCGGAUAUGGAUCUAUAAAAUUGAAUCUCAUAAUUCUGAAGAGAGGUCAAUGAAAUUGUCGUAAAACUCGGUGGAUUUAUGUGAAAUUGUACCUUUUAUAUAUGGUCGACCCUUAAUAAGGAAACCAUAUCGAAUUAACUUUUGACACUCCACUAGGAAAUUAGAAACUUGAUUCCUUCUUUUCCGAAAAAAAAAAAAAAUUGAUUCCUUUCAAAGAAAAACGAAAAACAAUAAAAAUUGGGCGGUUUGGGGUUGGGAGGGAGCCAAGAGGAUGAAGUAUGACUAGUCGAUCUGACCAUAGUGACAAAACUUUUGCCGAACAGGUGUAUAUUUUAAAGGCCCGUUUACCCUAUAAUAUAUGUGAAAUUCCCUAGGUUACAUUCAGUUGACUUGAGGGGUAGAUGCCGGGAAAGGCUUAGCACAUUGCAGCGGAGGAAGACCAAUUGCAUUUUAUAGACAACUGAAACGAAAAAAGAGAGGGAGAGGUGGAGGAGCAAUUUGGAUUAAGCUAUGAACUAAACUACUCGAUAUUCGAAUCCAACCUGGUUUGGUAAGAGGUCAAUUGAUCUUGGCUUGUCAACUAAUUAAAUUAAGUUUGAACAAUAUUUUAUAUUCGGUAACUUUUAAAUUCAAUAAGAAGUUCAUUCAAAUUCAAUUCGACAAAUAAAUAAAUAAAAUUUCAAAUUUGUUAAAAUAAUCAAAUAAGUUUGAACAUUAGAGUGUUUGAUUUGAUUAGAUUCGUUUAUCCCAUAGAAGCAAUCUCUUUUAACAUUUUUCUUUUCUAUUUUUGCAUUCUUUAUUUCCUUAAGUUGGAGACAUGGGUUUUUGCUUUUUUUUUUUUUCUUUUGUAUUAGAUUUAUUUGAAGAACUGACAGAAUAUAUUCAUGAAGACUGACUUGGUGUUCAAAGCACUGGAAGAGUUUUUUUUUUUUUUUCAUAUUUUAAUAGAGAAGUGACCUAUAAGGAUCAAUAGAGAUGGCAUUGUAGGGACGACUGCUUCCAUUACUAUCCGGAAAGACACCAAAUUCUCCUUUAGGUGCUUCAACUGCAGUGUAGGUAGAAGGAGCUUUGUUCUAAAUUCUAAUGCACCAUAAAAAAAAAAUAUAAAGCGUCCAAAAAAAGCAUUUUUUUCAUUCAUGUCAUUUUAGUAAUAUGUAAUCCUAUUUACACAUCAUUUUUUACUAUUUUUUCAAGAACUAAAAUAGUUUUUUUUUUCUUGAGGCUGGGUUGGAUAAUAAGAUGAGAAGGAGUGUAACAUAAAUAGGAGAUCAUCAAUUCAAAAUCUAUUUACUUACUGAAAAAAAAUGUAUGUUUUUGUUCCAAAGAAGUCAUUACGAAGUUAUCUAGGAGUGUGAUUGAACAGAUUAGAAGGCAAAAGGAAGUGGACAAAAUAUAUAAUAAAGUAGUAUUACUUCUACUGUUUUAACGUUAACGAAUGAAUGAAUGAAUCAAUUUAAUCUACAGCAUCUAUACAUCAAAAUCUCUAAUGGACUACAUUUUUUUUCCUAUAGGCUACAUUUAUCUUCUUUUUUUCUUCACUCUUCAAACUAAAGUGGAACAAGUGGAGGUUAAGGGAUCAUAGAUCGCUGGAAGUAGAUACUUGCGCGCAUU
rnacentral:lncRNA from 1 species